rnacentral:lncRNA from 1 species
GGAAAUUAAACAACUUUCUAAAAUCAAUCCAAAGAACAUAAAGUUCAUAUACAACAGGCCUACAUACUGUGCAAGAAAGAUUCACCAAAUUCUCUAUUAAAACACGAAAACAACUUGCACUCAAAAUCGGCCCUUGAAGGUGCUCAUUAUUCUACCAUUUUUGGAACACAAGACCAUAUAAACCAAAACAGAUUCUCAUAAAUUAGCUUCAGAAUCCAGCUUUUACGCUUUGGAUAUGAAAUUAGUCGUCUGGUCACUCCUGAGCCUAAAGCUUGAGAAUGAGGCCAAUUGGACUAUGAUCGCUUCCAGUAACAUCAGGGAGAAUAUAUGAGUCGUGAACCAUGUCUGAAAUUGAUUCGGAGACGAGGAAAUAAUCAAGCCGCCACCCUGGUCCAAAACAAAAGAUAAGUAAAGGGCAAACAGAAAAUUGAAAAAGGGAGUAUCAAAGCAGCAGUGCUAGGAAAAAGAAUGCUGAGUAUUUGGUAAGCUUUAAAGAUGUAGAGUUACUUUUUAACUAUUUCUAUCUGAUGACUUAAUUAUGUCUUACGUCAUUUUCACAAUAUAUUUGAUAAGUGUGUUUUAGGUAGUUUAUAGUGAUUUGUCUCAUGCAAACCCAUUUUGGAAAAUCCUUCCUCUAUUUAGGUCAAUUUGAGGUAUUUCCCCAUACAGAAAAGGUAAAAAAUAAUAAUAAAUAAAAUAAAAAUGAGGACACUUGCAGGAUGUCCGAAACUGGAACUAUCCCCAGUGAAACAAGUAAAACAGAAAAAGAAUGUACCGUGAAAUAAUAGCUGUAACAGAAUAACCUAGCUUCGAGACACUGCAUGUCCAAAAGCUAUUGUCAUAACCUUCUAGGAGACUUUGUUUUAUUGACUCAACAUCUUUCUCCUGCUUACGGAAUUGAAAAUACAAUGACAUUAACUCCAAAAUAACAUAAUUCUUGGAAAGAAACACAUGGGCUGUAGGCUCCCAUUGCAUCAGUAAGAGUACUCUUGGUGAGAUCCAAUGAAUACUUGCCAAGUUGGGUCCAGAACAUAAAAGAUAUCCCAUGUCCAAGAUAUUGUAAUUUCUUCCACAUUAUGUGAUAGGCUUCCCAAUAAAGUGUUUCCAUCCACUACAGAACAUAUGGGGAAUCAUAAAGUCUGGCCAACUAUGUGGAAGGAGUCAUCCAAAUGUUCUAUUCAUCAUUACGUGACACGACCCAUCUUGAAUCACUCUAUGGACCCAAAACAUGAUGUGUGCCGAUGGUUACAAAAUAUGCGACAAAAUCAAAAUUUUAUAAAAAUACAGUGCAAUGGGCCCGAAAUAAUUACUUCAUAUUUUACCAAAAUGAAUCAUAAUAUUCAAUAUGUCAUGCGGCUCUAACUCUUAAAUCAUCAUGCUCUUCAAGCUAUCAAUGAUCAAUGUUACCUGCAAGGAUAAUUUUUAGAAAAAUAUGAGCUAAUAGCUCAGUGAGUGGAAGAGUUCAAAAAUAAUUAUACUUUUUCCUUAAAACAUUUUUACGAAAUAUUAAGUUCAUAUUGUUUAAUAUUCACACGAUAGACUCGUACAAAUAUAGCCAAAAAGCGAGGCAUUCUCAUAACAAUGUAAAUAUCAUCUCAUAAUCAUGAUAUAAUCAUCAGUUGAUAUCUAUGUUAUCAUCUCAUAACAUCACAUGUGAUCCAUAAAAAAUGUACCCUUUGACUAAAAUCUGAAAUUCGCCCGCCGAGCCAAACACUUACGCGACGGGCCUUUGACCCCCUCCGUGAACGAAAGCGGGUCUCAAGACCUCUGGUAAUCAAUUCCAAAACCCGAUCGAGGCUCCUCUGUGAACUAUAUGUACACGAUCAAGACCAAUGUCAGAUCAAGACCCCUCCGUGUAGGAUAGAACAUGGCUAAGGCCCUUCUGUGAACUAGAAGAAGUAUAUAAUCAUGGGUACUUUUCUGAUCGAUCUCAAUAUUACAUGUCUCACUUACCAAACAAAUCUCAAUAUCAUAUGUCUGACACACCAAGUCACAAAUGUGCCAUAAACAAUCUUUGAGACUCCAUAUGUAUCAUAAUAAAAGAGAUUUUCAUAAUAAUCAUAUAAUUGAACACAUAAUUGCACAUAUUUUGAUAAUAUACUUAAUUUAUAAAUAUAUAAAAAAAUAUUUAUUUAUUUUACUCACAGAAUUAUGUUCGCAAAAUCAACUUGGUUGCUAAGCUGUCCCGAUAUUCGUAUCGCCGCCUGAAAUAUGAUAUAAUUUUUAAAUUAACAAUUAACUAUUUUAAGUAAUCUCAAUAAUUAAAUAGGCGAUACCCAAAUAUAAUCAUUUCACGUUUAAACAAUUUCUAAAAUCUCUUUAAUCACUAAAACUAGUUUUUCUUUCAUUUAACUCAAUUUCAUAGCUUAUUAUACUUAACCCUUCAAUAAAAUUGAAUUUAAUUUAACAAUCUAACAACUAUAAAAUUAAACAUAACUUCUCAAUAAAUAAUUUUUUUUAAACCUUUGAAUUUGAAGAAUUCAAGUAUAAUAGUGGAAGAAUUUAUUUUCUAACAACGUAGGCAUAUUUUUCCUUUUUUUUUCUCUUUCUUUUCUCCCUCAGUUCUCGGUUUCUCUCACUGUGUGUUUUUUUUGUGUUUGUGUGUGUAAUUAUGUAACAAAUGGGUUUGUGUGACUUAUAUGUGAAUUGGACUGCCUGGCCAUUAUAUAUAUAUGUGUGUGUGUGUGUGUGUAUUAUUUUAGGGCACCAGAUUUUGAAGUAUUCUUACAGGCUAAAGGUAUCCUAUUUUUCAUAAUUUAGAUUUAUGCCCUUUAUUUUUUCUAGACAUUUGGUCUCUAAAAUUAGCCUUCAAUUUAAGACGUUCGCCUAGUCUUCAUCUCAUCGGUCUAGGCAAUCCACACAACAAAAUUCAUGCAUGGAGCCCUACUUAUCUCAAUGUUCUUUUAUGAUUGCUCAACCAUCAACCACCUCCAAACUGUCUUAAGGUGGUUGAUAUUGAUCUCAGUAGAGGGUUAUUGUUCUUCUAUUACCUUGUGUUAAAAAUCCCAAUCACUAACUCAACAUGUAGAUCAUAAGUGGAGUGCAUCAAGAGUGUCAAGUAUUCACCAACAAGUAUCAGUUAAUAUAUUUAGCACCAUAUCUACAAUUUCUAAAUUAUACUAGUCAAAUGAUCACAUCGUAGCUGGCAAGGCUAUCAAGCCCACACAAGUAUGCAAAGAACGUGAUAUAGUAUAAUGAAUAGAAUCCAAUAAUCACUCAUCCAGCACAAUAUAUGCAACCAUUAAACAAAGAUAUUGAUGGAUUGUGAGAAAUUCAAAAUAGAUUCCACGCCAACAGUUUAGUUCAAAUUAUGCCACCACCAUCCAAACUUCUAUUACAGCUGUGUAUCCACUUCAACCGGUGGUGGAGGAGCUUGUGGCAUCUCUAUAUCUUUAGUAGCUUGUCCUGCUGUGACCUGUUAUUGCUUGUGGCGCUCAUUUUUUGCUUUCUCUCGGUGCUUUAUCCUGGCUCUAACCUGAGCUUCCAGUAUAGUGUGCUUUAUAGGGGAGCUGGAUUUUUCAGGCACCUCCCCUGAUGGGAUUGUAAUGCUCGUAGCCCUGCAUAUGCCGCUAAUGAGGCUCGGAAAGAUCAAAGUGGCACGUCAAUCUCUCCAAGUUCCCAUAGUGUAUAUUUGAUUGUAGAUAAAAGUGGCGAGAUCUAUCUUGCACCCUAAACUAGAUGAUAAACGAACCCUACUGUUUGAUCAGUAAAUGUAGUCCUGUGUGAUGUGGGUUUGAUAUUAUGGCACAUGAAGAGCUAUAGAAUGACAAUGGAAGGUGUGAGCUCAAUCUGAUGCCACUCAGUAGUUGCGAGGGGCCAUGCAUUUUCCUAGCCCAAUUCAUUCCUGUUGAAUUUAGUUGGGAUGGGAACCACAUUGUCCAUGGAUAGCUGAUAGUAGUCAUGGAUGACAUCCGGGGAGAACAUAAUCUACUUUUCUCGCGCCCAUGUCUAUGUAUAUGUUCCAAACCUGGGGCAUCGAUCUCACUAUUGAAGUUGGCAGAGAACUCCCGAACUAAACUCUCAUAUACUAGGUGUGGCCGCUCUACCGAUUUGUGCCAACCACAAAUGAGAAUCAUGUUCACCAAUUUAAAACCCGAGAAAUCAUCAAGUCUAAUGGGUCUUUCGACGAGCAUUGGCCAAUGGCGUAUGAUGUUCUCAUAUCGGGCUAUGGUUUCAGCAUUUAAGAAUCUCUGAAUGGCCCCUUCGGGCUUUCUAGUUCGCGUCGUUCCUGAAGGUGAGCCGGCUUUCUCUUUCCCUUUUGAAGUUCUCUUAGGUGGCAUGCUGCAAAAGUGUAAAAUUCUCAUAUCAGGAUCUCAAAGUGUAAUAGGAUAGACAAGAAAGCGAGAAAGAGUAACUGUGAAUCGCUAAUACCCUAAACUUACUUCAAGGUGCAUGUGUAACACGUUGGUGUGCAAUAUUCAAGAAAUUUAGCUCAAGAUAGUAUACUAUUGCAAAAAUAUGAAGCACCAACAAAGACUAGGCCCAAACAUGCACUUUCUAAAAUUUUUUUGCCAUGAACAAGUGAGGAUUUUCAACCCGAGGCAUGAUCGAGAAAAUUCAAAAUUUGCCGAGUAACCUUCGGGCAUAUGGAAGCUUUCAUAUUGGUCUAGCACAUAUUCAAAUUUCAAGUUGAUCGGAAGUUGUUUUGUUAGGUAAAUGAAGAGGCCAAGUGGGUGAUGUAGGGUGCCGUGACUUAGCCGAUAAUGUGCCUAAAUUGUGGUCAAGUUGAAUGAUUAUGGUUUUCAAUUCAACUCCUACGGGAUUUCAUCACAAAAUGCACUCCAAUUCAAUCGCAAUUUAUGUCCAUUGCAAGAUUUGGCAAAAUUUAUAACUAUCAUCACAUAGGAUUUCAAUCUUAUGAAUGUUUUGUUAAGUAUAUUCAUCCCAUAAUGUUUAAACACAAUGAAUGUUCAAUAAUCCACAACUAUCUAUGCCAAUUCUCCACAAAUUUCAAGAGUAAAUCGAAACAAAAAAAAAUCGAGACAUAAAGAAGGUAGAGGGUUCAAGAUUCUUACCUUGGAAUAGUUGGAGUUGAGAUGAAUGUGUGGAUUUAUGAAUGUAUGCCCAAGUGAUUGAUGAUUUUCAUGUGCUUGGAUGAUGAAUUUGUGCGUGAAUUUGGGAAAAUUCGUGCCCUGGAGUUCGUGGGUUGUGUGAUGGGGAGGAUUUGUGAAGUGAAAAUUCAAAUUAUGAGUUAAAAAUUCGUAAGUGACUCUACCAUGCUGCUGCAUGGUGUUAAUCCAUGCGGUCGCAUGGUAUAAUACUUAGAGCCCUUUGAGUUUUUGGACCGCAUUGACACUAUGUCUAUGCGACCACAUAGACAUUCAUUUUUUUGCCUCAAUAUUCAUGCCUAACAUAAUAAAUUGAGUGAAUUCAUGCAGGAAAACACAUUCGAUUCGUCAAAACUCAAUUUUAUGUCAAAUUGUCCCCAAAUCUCAAUUUUCAACUUGUGAUUUUGACUCGACCUUAUACCACCCCUAAGCUUACCAAAACACCGUUUUAAAUGUGUGGGGGUAAGUGUAGGCCUUAAACUUAAUUUUGAAACCAAAUUUUGGAAAAACAAAAAACUCUAAUCGAAAAAAAACUCAGAAAACUCAUUUUGGCCUUGAAUUGCGUGAAACUUACACCCAACUUUCAAAAAUAUCAUGUCACUAUUAUGACUAGUGUGCAGUGAAUUGGGAUAUGUGUGGAUCAUGCUUAGACUCUACCUAUGGAUAAACAAUGACCUAAAACUACCAAGCAUGCUAACAAUUGAAAAUUUCCUAAACUAAUGCAGAAAGCAAUAUAAACUAAAAUGAUACAAUGGGUUGCCUCUCACCCAGCGCUAGUUUUAUAGUCGAUAGCUCGACUUUCCUGUGUCUGCAUCAAUUUGGUGUUUCGAGUAGAACAAUAGACUUUUGCUUGGAAAAGCCACCACCCCAGUAGUGUUCAGCCUUUGCCCAUUAACUGUGAAGAUACCCUUAGUUUCAUGGCUGACUUUUAUAGCCCUAUAUGGCGAAACCUUUGUGACAGUGUAAGGACCCGACCUCCUUGACCUUAAUUUUCCUGAGAAGAGCUUGAGUCUCGAGUUAUAUAAUAGAAUUUUCUGUCCCAUUUCAAACUCUCAUCUCUGAAUGUGUAAGUCAUGCCAUUUUUUGGUGCGUUCUUUGUAAACCUUUGAGUUUUCAUAUGUUUCGAUCCUGAAUUCAUCUAACUCAUUAAGUUUCAGUAAGCGCUUUUCACCGGCGGCCUUGAAAAAUCCAUAUUUAACUGUUUGAUAGCCUAAUAUGCACAGUGUUCUAUCUUUAGUGGGAGGUGGCAUGCUUUACCAAAAACUAAGCGAUAUGGAGACAUGCCUAUCGGUGUCUUGAAUGCUGUUCUAUAUGUCCACAAUAGUUGUCAAACUUUUUAAACCAGUCGUUUCGAGAUGAAUUGAUCGUAACUUCAAGUAUUCUCUUCAACUAUCGAUUAGAAACUUCAACUUGCCCCGCUGGUCUGUGGAUGAUAUGGGGUUGCUACACGGCGUUUAACACCAUAUUUACUCAACAACUGCUCAAACUGGUGAUUACAAAAGUGUUUGCCCUAUCACUGAUUAUCAUCCGCGGUGUGCCAUAUCUGGUGAAGAUGUAUUUUUUCAAGAAUCCAAUUACAACCUUCACGUCGUUGGUUGGCAAUGCAACUACUUCUACCCAUUUAGACACAUAGUCAAUGACCAUAAGGAUUUACUGAUUUGAAAAUGAUGGGAGAAGAUAUCCCAUAAAAUUGAUUCCCCAGAUGACAAAUAUCUCAACUUCCAAUAUAUUAUUAAGUGGCAUUUCUUUCUCCUUAAGAUAUUCCCAGUGCGUUGACAUCUAUCACAUCUCUUGACAAAUUCAAAGGUAUCUCUGAACAAUGUAGGCCAAUAAAACCUUGACUGUAAAAUCUUUGCAGCAGUCUUUGAAGCUCCAAAGUGUCCCGCAUAAGCAGAUGAAUGGCAAUGCUCAAAAAUCCUAGGUACUUCGUCUUCUUACAGCAGUAACACCCAAUGGAUCAGUUUCGGCUUAGCAUCCUUCUUUGUCAUCAGAUAUUUUAGUGCGGCAUGAUUUGUAUAGAUUAUGACCUUAGACCCCACGAGAUAUGAUCUGAAUAUGUCAAAUACAUAUACCAUAGCCAAUAGUUCAUUUUCAAUGGUCGCAUAGUUGAUUUGUGCAUCAAUUAGGGUUCUGUUUGCAAAGUAAAUCACAUAAAAAACUUUAUUUCUUCGUUGUCCCAAUACUGCACUUGCGGCAUGAUUACUAGCGUCACAUAUUAGUUCAAAAGGUAAUUCCCAAUCAGGGGCUACAAUUACCGUUGCUGACAUGAGUUUCUCCUUGAAAGUGUUAAAAGCUAUCAGGCGUUUCUCAUUAAACUCAAACGGCAUAUCUUUCAUCAAUAGGUUGCACAAUGGCUUGGUGAUUUUUGAGAAGUUCUUGAUGAAUCUUCAGUAAAAUUCAGCAUCUCCUAGAAAACUGCGAAUACCCUUAACUGAUGUAGGUGGCAGUAGCUUCUCAAUAGCCUAAAUUUUUGCUUUGUCUACUUCGAUUCCCUUUGUUGAUACUCGAUGUCCUAGCACAAUCCCCUCUUGUACCAUGAAGUGGCAUUUCUUCCAAUUCAAUACCAAAUUAGUUUUCCUGCAUCUUUAUAAGGCCAAAUUCAAGUGUUCUAAACGCUCAUCAAACGAAGAUUCAAAGAUCGAGAAAUCAUCCAUGAAUAUCUCUAUAAACUUCUCUAUCGUGUUUGAGAAAAUUUCCAUCAUGCAUCUCUGAAAUGUGCAGGGACGUUGCAAAGGUCGAAAGACAUUCGACAGUAUGCAAAGGUACCAUAGGGGCAAGUGAAGGUUGUUUUCUCUUGGUCAUCUAGUGCCACUGGUAUCUGAUUGUAAUCUGAAUACCCAUCGAGGAAGCAAUAAUGUGAGUGGCCAAACAAUCUUUCCAGCACUCGAUCAAUAAAUGGAAGGGAAAAGUGAUCUUUUCUUGUAGCUGUAUUGAGUUUAUGGUAAUCAAUGCAAACCCUCCAUCCCAUCACUGUUCUGGCUGGCAUUAGCUCAUUCUUCUCAUUCGACACUAUCGCGAUUUCCCUUUACUUUGGUACCGCCUGAACUGGGCUAGUCCAUGUACUGUCUGAUAUCGGAUAUAUGAUUUUAGCAUCUAGAAGCUUGAGUACCUCUGCUCUGACCACUUCCUUCAUAUUUGGGUUCAACCUCCUUUGACUCUCUAAGGUUGGUCGGAAAUUCUCUUCCAUAAGAAUUUUAUGCAUACAUAGUGAAGGGCUGAUCCCUUUGAUAUUUGCUCUAGUCCAUACAAUUAUUAUUUUAUUAUCUCUAAGAACCCUAAGUAGUUUAUUCUCUUUCACUUCAUUGACUGUGUUCGAGCCAAUGACCGGGAGUGUACAAGACUCCUCCAAGUAUGCAUAUCUAAGAUGUGGUGAUAGUUUCUUGAGUUUCAAUUUUGGUGCCUACUGAAUGGAUGGUAGUGGCUUCGUGGGUCCUGUUCUAAGCUCCUCAAAAUGCCUUCUGCAUGUAUAAGAUGGGUUGGUAUCUAUAAAUCUUGCAUGUGUUUCCAUCUCCACUGAAUCGGAAUGCAUUGACUGAGAGUGUGCAAUGCAAGCUUCAUAAACAUCUGAUGGAUUGUGUAGCAAAAAUGAGUCUUGAACCACCUUGUCAAUCACGUCGAUCUGGAAGCAACUAUCUAAUUCUGUAGGUAGUUUCAUCACCUUGAAGACAUUAAACGAAAUUUGCUCUUCUCCCAAUCUCAAAAUCAACUGUCCAUUCUGAACAUCAAUUAAAGCUUUCCCUGUUGCCAAGAACGGUCUGUCAAGUAUCAAUGGAAUGUCUUUAUCUUCUUCCAUAUCCAUAAUGAGGAAAUUCGUAGGGAAUAUAAAUUUCUUUUACUUUGAUGAACACAUCCUCUAUUAUUCAUCUUGGAUGUUUCAAUGAUCUAUCAAUUAAUUACAGCGUCACUGUUGUAGCUUUUGCCUCUCCCAAUUCAAAUUUCCUGAAAAUAGAUAGAGGCAUCAAAUUAAUACUUACACUAAGAUCACAUAACCCUUUAUCAAAAUAAGCUUCACCAAUAGUGUAAGAAACAGUAAAACUCCCUAGAUCUUUCAAUUUCGAUAGGAACCUCAUCUGAAUUCUGGCUCUGUAUUCCUCAGUUAGCAUGAACAUUUCUGUUCUUCCAGCUUACAUUUAUUUGAUAGGAUGUCCUUUAGGGAUUUUGCGUAGCUAGGCAUCUGGACUAAUGUUUCGGCGAAAGGAUGUUCAUGUGGAGCUUCUCAAAAACUUCGAGAAAUUUUUUAUAUUAUUGCUCCAAGUUCUGCUUCUUUAGCCUCUCGAAAAAGAUAUGGGAGGCUUAUAAGGAUUGACGAUUGAUAUUGCUUUAUCUUGUGAUUUGCCUAGUCCUUCAUCUGGGGUAGAUUCCUUUAUCUGCUUGUUAUGCUCCAUAGUCGCUUCUUCCACAGGAGAUGUUGUUUCUCAAGUUACACUUGGCCUUUUGACAUGUAUCUUAGGUAGCUACCUUCCACUUCGAGUUGUAAUUGCCUGAGCAUGUUAUUUAGGGUUUAUUUUUGUGUUAUUUGGCAAAUUGUCUGGUGCUCUGCCAGCCAAAGCAACUACCAUCUAUCCCAUUUGAAAUCUAGAGAUUUUUUAUAGCUGCAUUCUGAUAUUGAAGAGUGGCCUCGAUUUUUCUCAUGAAUUGAUUAUUAGCUUCCAUGUACUAAUUGAUCUUUUCUAUAAAUUUAUCGAACAUCUCUUCUAGUUAAGGAUUUGCUGCUGAUGCUGACCCAAUGGCCUAUUCUGAUUUUGGUUGCUCCAAGAGAAAUUAGGGUGCUUUUUCCAACUCGGAUUGUAUGUCUCCCUAAAUGAAUUGUUCUGCUGACACUGUCCCCAUUGAGCAAAAUCUGGUUGCUCUACUCCUUGUACCAAGAAUGGACAUUAUAUUGUUACAUGUUCGACUCCACAUUCUUCACAGCUGGCCUUCUUCGAUUGUGCUGCGUUAGCUGAUUGUGACAUAUUUUCCACCUUGUGAAAUAAUGAGUCAAUUUUGACAGACGAGGCAGAAUAAACGUCCACUUCCUAAACUUCCGAUCAUCUUCUGAUAUGCUCGUUCCGAUGUCUACAUAGCUGAUGUAGUAGCCAUAGUCUCGAAUAGUUUCAGUGUUUCAUAAAUUGUCAUUGUGGACAGUGAUCCGUUAGAUGACGAGUCGACCAUGCUCUUGAAGGCUAGAAGUAAUCCCGCAUAGAAGUAUUAGACCUAGAGUCCCUUGCUAAUCCCAUGAUGUGGGCACUUUUGCAGCAUAUUUUCGAACCUAUUCCAAGCUUCAUCAAAGUUCUCCGAGUCCCUUUGAUGAAAAAUAGAUAUGUCAUGCUUGAACUUUGCAAUCUUGAUGCGCAGGAAGAACUUGUUGCAAAAUUUCUGGGCUAGAUCAUUCUAUGUAGUGAUGGUGGCGAUUAGUUGUGAAUCUAGCCGUUCGAUUUCCUUGUUGCGCAAUGUAUGUGGGAACAACCUUAAUUUGAUUGCAUCUUUUGAGAUUCCUUGAUAUCUAAAGUGUUGGCACAUCUCCAAAAAGUGAGAGACGUGCAUAUGUGGAUUCUCUUCAGUUCUUCCAUAGAAUUGAUGUCCAUUUCGAAACAGUUGUAUCAUGUUGGUCUUCAAUUGGAAGUUAGGCUGCCCAAAUGAUGGAUACACGAUGCUCAACUAGCUUUGAAUUAUCUGAGGGGUCAUGAAAUCUUCUACAAGCAUAUUGCCUUCAUCUGCUACCCCUCCUUCAUUGGCUUGAAAAAUGGGUUGUUUUGUAUAUUAGCCAUUUGCUACUAUGCUUCUCUAUUUUUUCGUUGCAUUCGAUGUAAAGUUUUUUCUAUUUCUGGAUCGGCUGGGAUCAGGUCUCCUUCAGUAGACCUUAAUGUGCAAAUCCGCGAGAAAAAUUAAUAUGAGUGUUUAGAUACUAUAAUGAAGUAAAUAACAAAAACAAAGCAAAAUAAAAUGAAAUGAAAUAAUAUAAUAAAAAAACUACAAAUAUUAAUGUUCGAAUUAGUGCCAAUGUAAAUAAAAUUUAACGAAUACAUAAUACCCUGCAACGGCGCCAAAAACUUGUUUACGAAAAUAUUCUUUCGAUUUAGAACACCGUAAGUGUAUGGUUCGUUAACAAGUAAUAAAAUGGUUCAAUUGAGUUUGAAUGUCGUCCCACAAAUAUUGAGUAGUUCAAUUUUAUCUAAUGUAGCCUUAACCGAAACCAAUUUAUUUAAAGUGAGUUUUUCUACCUAAGAAAACCCUAAUUAUGCAAAUGUGAUGAUUGGACUAAACUAAAUAUGCAAAUGAUGUUUUAACGAACUAAAAUGCAAAGAAAAUGGUUGGAACGCAAAUUGAUUUUAUUCAAUGAAAAUUAAACGCACUAGGAUCACAAAUUCCCAUGCAAUGAUCACCUUGAACCCUAGUUUCACAAUACGACAACACGAUUGCAUUAUCGAAGAAUCAAUAUUCCUAAAUCUAUCUAACACUCUCUCUCGAGCGAUAUUGAACCUAUUCUCAUACAUGUGUUAUUAUGAGCACUUAAAGAUUCACGCAAAACAUAUAGGUAUAUCUCUAUCCCCUAUUGGACCCUAUGAUGAUCUAUACCUUGUCGAAUUUAUUUCCCUUCUCUCGAUUGGAAGAAAUAAAUCACCAUACCACAUAAUUUCGUGCACUUAAUUAUGGAAGUCAAAUAAUGUAUAUAAACUAUUCAAAUAAUAAAAUACGUGUUUUAAUGUCGAAUUACAAAACUAGAAAUCCAAAGAUCGCAUCACAUUGUUCAUCGAUCUCCUAGUACAAAAAUAUUUUGCCUAACAUGAAGAAAAUAAUAGAAUGCAUGAUUGCUUAAAGAUAAAAUAUCACCGGAUUAUGAAUUCACGUGAAAUCUCGAUGAUCUUCGUGAAAAUCCUUCGUUACUUUCGCUCAAAAUCUUCUCCAAGAUGUGUUUUGUUACCUCCUAAUGCGUUCCCCCCUAAAAUCUGACAAGUCUAGGUUUUUAUAUCGUGUCCAAAUCAAGUUCCAAAAGAGUUUUCACGAAAGCAGGAAACUGUAAAAUUGCGUCAAAAAAUCCUACCAUGCAAUCACAUGGAGUUAACCCAUGCGGCCGUAUGGUACACUUGGUUUUGAUUCUGGAAUUCCCUGGACCGUCUUGUAUGACCGUAAGGAUGUUCUACCAUGUGACCGCAUGGUAGAAUUAACUUCCAAUUUCUGCCGUUUUGGUCCCCAAACUCUAUUUUCUUAUUUAUUGGCCUCCUUUCUUCGUCCAACUGGUUCCAUCAUCUCCUGAUGACUCCCAAUUGAUACAUAGCCCAUUCAAUUUCUCGAUUCUUCCUUCAGGUCAUCUAUUGGGUAAUUGCACUUUGGUCCCUGAUAUUACGAUUUCCUUCAUUUUGGUCCCUUUCGCUUCUUUUUCUUUUGAAUUUCAUCAUGUCGAUCAAUGUAAUAUAUAAUACACAAAUUAAUCCAAAAUUCAAAUACUUUGCUCAUAUUUAAGUCAUUUUUUGAACCAAAUAAGUGUGUAAGUAAAUCACACUUAUCACGCCUCAGUACUAUUUGGUAAGUAUAUUUCUUAUCACUUUAUACAUCAGAUUGCUUGAAGUGAGUUGUCUAUAUUUGGGUAAAAGAUCUCAAGAUUACAUCUCUGAUAUCCAAUAAAAGAAGUGAACUCAUAUUGCAGACAAUUCAAAAUUUCUGCCCCUUUUGAACACUCAAACACCCAUAUAAUAGUGGGAAAUAAGUUAAAUAAACUUUAGUUAGAAGAACAUAACAUUUACCUCAAUUUCGCUCUCAGCUAUUGAACUGUCAUUUCCUCUAUUCUCUUGGAAUCAUCCCCAAGAAGCUUACUUUCCUUAACAAUGUCCUAUAUUCCAAGGAAAAUCCAUUAUGUACAAUACAAUAAUUACUUACAACCACAAUAACAAAUGCAACAAUGCCAAAAAAAUAAAGGGGAAAAAAUGACCUUGGAAAAGUCUUUUGGGAUUUUGAUGCAUCAAUACUUAAAUGAUCACUCACAUCUGAUUGUAAGGAAAUCGAACGGGGUUUUUGGAACACAUUAAUUCUAAUUUUACAGAAAAUGGACCUUCAAAUAUGAGGCUUCUAUAAUUUACUGCAAAAAAGCUACAAAAUGUAGAAGAAACCAGAGGUGAGAGUUAAACCCAAACAAUAAGGUUAUUAUUGAAUUUAGUGUGUACCUUCUGAAAGUUAAAUUGUGGAACCCUAAUUUGAGAUUUUGAAUCAUUGAAAGUCGGAGACAAGAGAAGUGUAGGUUAAAGCAUAAGCAGGGUGGCUUAAGCCCCAGUUUGGCCCCCAUUUCUUGAAAUGAAAAUGGUGGAACAGUGUUUUUUUGAAAAUGAAGGGUUGAAAAAGAAGAAAAAGUUUUCGAUUUAUGCGUAAUAUUAUUUUAUAGAAGAUUGGAUGGUUGAAAAUAGGAGAGAAAGAAAUGAAAUAUAAUGUAAUGGAAUUUUAUGGAGGCCAAACGGGGGCUAAGUUAGCAGUGAAAAAUUGUACAGCCAAAAUAUGUGGCGGGCAGAGUUGAACUCACUAGCCAAAAUGAUAAACACUGCGUGCUUGUGUUUGGCUUAGCUUAAAAACUUCAUUGAAAAGUAAAUAAGCAGGUCAUAAAAUUAAAGAUUUUGGUUGGUCGAUGAUGAGUUCAAUUCACUCAUCAAUUUAGCACCUUUAAAUCUUAGUUUUAGGGUUGUCAUUGAGCACUUUUGAACGUUUUGAUGCGGGUUUUCAUGUUAUGCAGCUUGUGCAACUUUUGGGAAGACGCCACAACCUGGAGCUUAUAAUGGAGCUAAAAUGGUGAUCGCAAAAUUGGAGCAUGAAUUGGAGAUAAGAAAAGAAAAAUUGAAGUGGAAACAUGAUAUUGAAGAUGAAAAAUCCAAAUAGAGGCAGUCUAUUGGGUGCCAUGACAUUGGACAUGGGCGCCACAGUGCCCAAGUAAUGAGGAGAAUCAGCAAAGAUUAUCCUCAUUAAUAAUAUCAUUAUCAUUAUUAUUAUUAUUAUUAUUAUUAUUAUUAUUAUUAUUAUUAUUAUUAUUAUUAUUAUUAGUGUUUUUUUGAAAAAAAAAUUGAGUGGUUAAAAAAGAAGGAAAAAUUUUCAAUUUAUGUGUAAUAUUAUUUUAUAGAAGAUCUGGUGGUUGAAAAUAGGAGAGAGAAAAAUGAAAUGCAAUGUAAUGUAAUGAAAUUUAAUGGAAGCCAAAUUUAUUUUCUAUAAAUUUAAAUAUAGAAAAUAUUUAAAUUGUCCAAUGACGAAUGUGUACUUAGAAUAUUUGAUAUAGACAACAAUGAUGAUGGAGGGAUGGAACAAGAACUGCAAAACAUAUUAAAUAUAUUCAAAACUGGAUCCUCUUCGAAAGUAUCUAUUCCAAAUUUAAAAUUUGAAAUAAAAAAUAUGAAAUCUCAAAUUUCUAAUUUAGAAAAUCCAAUGAAAGAAGUCAAAAUGGAAGUCAUCAUUCUUAAAGCAAAAGAUUUGAAUGAUGAAUAUUACUCAAAAUUAAAUUCUAAAUCAAAAUCUUCCAAGUACUCAUCAUCCUCGUCUGAGACAUAAUUAAAAAAUUCUCAAUUUCGAUCUGAAGAAAAAGUUAUUAAUGUUAUUAAUCGAAUUCAACUUCAAAAAUGGUACUGCAAUAUGACUAUUGUAGUCAACAAAGAAUUCAAAUUCACUUUCAGAGUUCUUACUGAUUCUGAAGCAGAUCAAAAUCGUAUUAGGGAAGGUCUUAUCCGUACAAAAUAUUUUGAAAAAACUACUGAAUGCUUUUACGUUACUAGUGGUAAGAAAUUCAAUAUUAAUUACAAACUUUCAAAAGCUCAUGUUUGCAAUACAAAUAUUUGUUUCAAAAAUAUUUUUUAUCUUGUGAAAGAUUUGAUCAAGAAGUUAUUCUUGGUACUCCUUUCAUAGUUCAACUUUAUCAUUUUCAAGUUGAUUCAAAAGGUUUAACUACAGAUACUUUCGAUAAGGAAAUAUUUUUCAAAUUUAUGUCCAACUUAUUUUCUUUUCACAUUUUUAUUAACAUUUUUUUUUUUGAAAAAAUGAGUGAUUAAAAAAAAGAAAAAUUUUUCGAUUUAUGUGUAAUAUUAUUUUAUAGAAGAUUGGGUGGUUGAAAAUAGGAGAGAGUAAAAUGAAAUGAAAUUUAAUGAAGGCCAAACGGGGGCUAAGUUAGCAGUGAAAAAUUGUAUUGCCAAAAUAUGUGGCAGGCAGAGCUGAACUCACUAGCCAAAAUGAUAAACAUUGCGUGCAUGUGUUUGGCUUAGCUUAAAAACUUCAUUGAAAAGUAUAUAACUAGGUCAUAAAAUUAAAGAUUUUGGUUGGUCGAUGACGAAUGCAAUUCACUCAUCAAUUUAGCACCUUUAAAUCUUAGUUUUAGGGAUGUCGUUGAGCACUUUUGAACGUUUUGAUGCGGGUUUUCAUGCUGUUUUGCAGCUUAGACAACUUUUGGGAAGACGCCACAAUCUGGAGCUUAUAAUGGAGCUAAAAUGGUGAUCGUAAAAUUGGAGCAUGAAUUGGAGAUAAGAAAAGAAAAAUUGAAGUGGAAACAUGAUAUUGAAGAUGAAAAAUCCAAUUAGAGGCAGUCUAUUGGGCCCCAUAGCACUGGACGUGUGCGCUACAAUGCCCAAGUAAUGAGGAGAAUCAGCAGAGAGAUAAGCAGCCAGUAUACGUGGUGCUAGCACACAUAAAUUAGCAGAGAGGCUGGCUUCGCGGAGCCAUACCUAGGCGCUGCAAUGCCAGCAGGAGAAAAUGUCACGAAGACGCGACGCUAAUAUUGGGCACUGCGGGGCCCAACACCAAAAGAUGGAAAAUUGAAUUUUUCUUGGCCUAGAUCCAAUCCUUCUCAUCUUGUAAAUUUUGAGAAGUAUAAAUACAAUGAAGAAGACCUAAUUGAUAACUCUUGCCAUUGAAAAGACAACUCAAGGCAAAAACAAGAGAAAAAGCACUUCAACGAAGAAGAUCUACAAUCAUUGGGAGGAGAUUCGAAGCAUUAACUGAGUUUUUCCUAAUCUCUUCUUCUCCAUGCUCAUUUAUUUGUAUUUUAGAAUGUCAUUUUCAUGAAUUAUGAACUAAAAUCGUACAACUAGGGUUGGUGUAACCUAACUUGAUAUAAUGUUUGGCUGUUAAUAUGGUAUUUCUUUAAUUUUUUGGCAUUUAUUUGUGUUAUUCAUGCUUAUUGCUUUCAAUCACCUGAUCAAUGGUUGAAUGAUUUCAAGUAUUGAAUUUCGGCACUCAAGAGAGGGAGAUUUAAUCUUGAUCCACGAAUAUCUAACAUAGAUUUCGUAGGUUUCGAGAUAAAGUAUGAAUUCUUUGAGGCUAAUUUUAAAUCAAGAACCAAAGACUUAAUAAUUUUUAUAGAUCUGACCUGGAAUAGAGAUAUUGGGGUUAGAGUAUAGAAAUAAAUUCUAUUCGGCUCUCGAGAGAGGGAAUGGGAUUAAUUUACGGUUCUUGCCUAUAAAUUGAGGAAAUUUAGAGUAAUAACCAUAGAGAUUGAAAAACAUUGUCGAUAGGGCAGUGAAAUCAUUUCCUAGACUUCAUUGCAUUGAUUAUUUUCAUAUAUUUCAUCUUGAGUUGUUUGAAUUGCCAUCUAAUUCACAUUAUAUUAAUUUAGCAUGAACACAUCAAGUCAAAAAUUGGUUUUCUGAAUAAAGUAAAAGUUAAAAUAAUUAUAGUAUUCAAUAGGAAUCAAACAUCAAUCCCUGUGGAUUCGACACUUCAAUUCUAUCCCUUUAUUACACAACUUGACACUGUACACUUGCAGUUAAACCACGCUGCAUAAAACGCGUGGCAGUCGAAGUUGGAAUAAGUUGUGCCCAUUUUGAAAAUAAUUCCUAUUUUUCUUCUCAUAUUUUUUUUUUUUAGUUCCAAGUAAGAAAAGUGUAUCGAAUAUUUUGGAAACAAAACUUCACUUAUAAGUAUGCUUGCUAAACACACGUAGAUUCUUGUGGUUCUUUUGCCACCAUAUGGUAGCCUCUUCUUGUUAUGAUAUUUUAGGAACACUAUAAGUUCUCAAACCAAGAAUACAGAAAGUGUCAUUUCUUUAGCAAUCAGUUGACACUAAAAAGUUCAUCACGACUAUGAAAUUUUUGUAGUAAUAGAAAUUCAUACCUUAGGGUAAUUAAAUUCACUCUCAUGAUUUCCAAUUAUUUGGUGAACACCACUUUCCCCUAAUAGAUAGCCAUAAGCAUAUUUGAAUUUGAAUUCAAUUGUUGCUGGCUUGAUACCUCCAUUCUUUGCAGGGCACCUCUCAACUAACCUCACUGCAUGACUAUGCUUUUCAACCCAUUUCAUGUACAUUCGAGUGAGUUGUCCUGCCUAUGUCUGAAUAAAUUUUACGUCAAGAUCUUAAUGGAGAAGACCCAUUCUGUUGAAAAAAUAAAAUAAAGACCUACUACUAAUGAGAUAAAAGAACACCUUUUUCUAAAAUAUCAAGUAACUCGUAUGCUUUAGUAAAUUAGAGGAGGAAAUGGUCCUUGGAAGUCUAGAGACAAGGAAAUUGAUCCAUAUAGCCAACUAUACUGAAAGUCUACUACGGUUUAGAGGUUUGUUUCAAACUUGUUCAUACAAUGAAUAUACAAAUAAUGUACAAAAAAAAAACAAAAAAAAACAGAAAGAGCGCAUCAUGACACAUCAAAACAGGUUUAUCCAAUGAAAAAGCAAUGAGGUAUGUAGAAUUAGUUACCAGUUUGACAAAGUUGUAACCAUUCAUUAGCAAAAACACCAAAACAAUUGAUAAAGGCAUAAAGCCGGAUUCGAAAAGAAGAUAAAAGAAACUAUGAUUAGCAAGAAUGAAUCAUAGAAAAUCACAUUGACCAUGUAAGAAAGCUCAAAGAAAGGAUUAAAUGGAGUUAUUCAUGUAAUAGAAACUCUCCUGGAAGUGCUCAUGGAUAGUCCUAAUCUUCAAUCUUGUCGAACUCUUAUUAAUAGACAAACAAAUCAAUAAAAGAUUAGGUUUAAAAAAUAGCUUAUGGCUACAAAGUAAAACUUUAGAUAGUCAAGGUUAAAAGCAUAUUAUAGAAUAAUAAAUAUUUUUACGAAGUUAAAUCACCGCUCACUGAUGAGUUAUAAAGGGAAUUCCAUUUAAAAGAGCAGUGACUCUACAGAAAAGCAUAAAGUCUCGAACCACAAACCUCUGAGUAAAUGUCUCCACAUCUAGAUUCAAUUUUGAGACAUACUCCCUCCAUGUCAUAUGGUUCUUUAAGAAUCUUGGACAUCUCAUACUUAUCCAAAAACUUGUUUAAAUCUACAGAAGCAAAAUAUGCCUGCUUGAAAAGCUCAUAAUUUAUAGUAUCCAGCUCUGCAAGUUCUGUAAUCAGUUUAGCUUCCUCAACCUGGAGUGGAGAUUUACAACUUCUCAAAAUAUUGAGCCCUCUUCACUAUCAUCUUAUAACCUUAAAUAGCUUAGUAUAUUACAAGCAAAUGUGAAAAUUUACACACACUUUCAAGUCUCCUAGUUGACAAUUGUAUCCAAAUAGGCAUACAAAUACUUGAACAAGAAGCACACUACCUUAUAUUUGACGUCUUGAAGGGCGUCAACACCUUGGCACUGUUGGCUAGUUUGAUGAGUAUUUCAUUCAAUUUCCCUGGGUCAUCCCACAAGUCAUGAUCACGAAUAAUUUCUUCUUGCUUCUUCAUUUCCAAGGCUGUUGGUGCUAACAUCUCUGCAUGGAGAAUUGAAUCUUCUAUCAUUUUUCUUAAAGAAAACAUAACUAUAUAAAACCAAACCAUUACAACUAAUCCAAGUGGCAAGUACUAGACUAUUGUAUGCAUAUAUCAUACAAGAAUAAUUCUAUUUAUACCUAGUUGGGAGUACCGAAAAUUUUCCCCCCCUCUCACAACGCAGACGGGCCCUGUGUGAAUAUAAAAAUUUCCAAAUGUAGUCCUCAUCCCCUAUUAUGAGUACUAGGUAAAAGAUUAGGUAAAAAAAAAUUAUGUACACGUAAUAUUGCCCAUCAUACAAAUAUGAUCCUUGAAGAUACGCAGAUCUAAACAUCUUGCAAGGAAGAAGUGUAUUGUAAAAUAAUCUUUGUUGAAGUAACCUAAUGAUUAACAGGCCUUAGGAUUUCGUUUUCCUUUUUCCUAGAAUUGACAGAGAACAGUCGAUCUUUAUCUUAGCAAUCUAAAGUUAAAUUUGCCACUGUAUAUGAUCCAUAAACAAUUAACAUGAGUACUGUGUUUGAUAUGAAGCUACAUAUUCAUAUAGGAAACGUAACAAUGCUUCAAUAACUUAUCAAAAUUUAAACCAUAACUUAGUUGAGGGGAUUAUUUUUUGUUGAUCUACAAGGCCUUUUUUCUUGAAACACGUAAAAUGCUACAAACCCAGAGUUAACUAUUUUCUAACUAAUAUACUACCCCAUAAACAAAUCAUCUUGAAGAUAAAGGAAAGGCAAAAUAGAAGAAAAUGCAGAGAAGUUGAGGCUAAAAUAAGUAUAGAUGCAUAGUUUUUAUUGUCCUCUUUAGAUCCAAGUCAAUCCAAAUUCUAAUUGUUGUGGUGUAAAUCUAACUGAGCCAAGAAAAGAAAUAUCAAUGACAUGUAAACAAUAUAAAUAACAGAUGUUAUAAAUAACAUAAACAAGCACACAGUGUUUUUCUCAUAUUCUUGAAGACUCAUCAAUUUUUGCAAAUUUUUAGGUUCAUAUCUUCUCAUUAAUUUAUUCAAUUUUCAAGACAAGGGGUAAGAGACUUUGCAUCAAAAAAUGAACUUUUAUCUUAUAUGGGCCAAAAAAAAAAAACAUAAGAGUACACAAAUGGUUCCAAAAUGAUGAAACUGCAUACGCAUGCAUAAUUAUAAGCACAGAACGAGAGAGAGAGAGAGAGAGAGUUCUUCGUAGAACAUGUUGUCCUUGUUGUCAUCCAAGGGAUCGUGAGAAGCUCGAAUGAUCAACCUUGAUUUCCUAACUGCAGAAGCUGUUGCAACUGGAGGUUUCCAUUUGGGCUAGCCAAAUAUAUAAUUUAAUUGAGAAGUUUAAGAACCAACAGCAGGAGUCUAUACACAACAAGAUUCUAUCGCCAUUUUUAGCCGCCUUCUGAAAAUUCCCGGCUGCUAGAAAAUGCGGCUUAUCAAUUCUUUCUUGUACUUUGGACUUCGGGGGAUGAAGAAAAUUGUGGUUGGCUUUGGAAAAGAAAUAUGGAAAGGUCAUAAAAGGACUAUGGAUAAAAAAAAUAAGAUAAAUAAAAAAUCAUUCUACUUUCUAGUGAAGCCAAUUUUAAAAAGUGAGAGUAUAUGUUUGGUAGAAAAGAAAUUUCUUAUUUAUAAGGUGAGGCCUACAAAAUAUGGGCGCCAAAUUCUACCCAAGUGUGAAAAUUUUCCAAAACUUCUUAACUCAAAAAUACUAGUACUCUGGUUCCAAUGCGAAAAUUGAUAUGAAUUACACUAAAAGAAAAUUUUAAAAUCAAAAAAUUGAUCCCAUCUAACUAUACAAGAACAUGUAGUUGAACAUGUCUAGAAGCAGGAGACAUUCUUUAACCAAUAUUAUUACCAAUAUUCAAUAAUUUAAUUUAAGCGCUCAAUUAAAAUUUACUAUAUUUUUAAAUUUAUGUGUGACCUAAUAUACUCCAUCUAAUGUGGCAUUGAUGUGAAAAUCGAUUACACUGAAAGAAUUAAUGAUUUUAGAAAUGUAAAUUGAUAAAAAUAUUUUCAGACUACCAAUAUUAAACAUGUCCGACUACUAUAGAUCUAUAAACAUGUCCAACAAGUAGUUAGACAAAAACUUGGGACCGUCAAAAUGUUGAGCUAGCACAAAAGUCUUACACUGCAUGCAUAAAUAUUCUCUUAGCAAAAUAUUUCUAAUUGUUGAGCUUGUCUAAGUAUUAUUAAAUCGAUAAAAUUUAAAUAUCUCGUAUCAUAUUGUCCAUGAUGUCAAAAAAGUACAUUAGUAGGGCAAAAGAAAAUGCUACAAAUACCUAAGGACAUCAUCUACCCAGACAUAUCUCCAACUCACUAUACUUAAUACCUUACACUCAUUUGCUCCACCACUAGUUUGCCACCACUUAACCUCAGGCUCAACCUCAAGUCCACUACUCGAGCAACACCCCAAUAGCGGCGACUCCUUCAAGAACCACCCUUCAAUCCCAAAACAAAGUUCCCCAUCCCUCGGCAAUCCAUCAUAGUGAGCACACUUGCAAAAACCCUUCAAAAAUAAAUUCCAAGUAACUCUCAAACUAUCCAAUGUCUCGAACGCCACCGAAUUAUCACUCUUGACGUUAAUAUCGAACCGGAAAAUGCCAUUCUUAUCGACCUCAAGUUCGUCAAGGGCUUUAUAAGUGUAAAAAUGCAUGAACGAGUGUUAACAUCAAUAGCAAAGAAUAUAUCUUGUAAAGAAAGAUGGGGCUGUUGAAAAUUGAAACGUGUUGUUCAUACAAAAUUUGCAAGCGUACAAGAUCGUUGAUAAGCAAUAAACAUAGUGAGUUCAAAGCAUCAUUUCACGAAGAAUAAUUGUAAUUAUAGUUUACUAAUUAUAAUCAAAUUAGAUUUUAUGUAACAUAAAAUAUUUAUUUUUGUUAAAAUUCUAAUUUAAAUUAUGAAAGCAAGAAAAGAUUAACUUUUAUCCGAAGAUGAGAUUAAUGUAUUGGAUUUCAAAAUUCACCUAUUUAUGUCUAAUUCCAAUUCUCGACUUAUACAUAUAGCUUGAUUAAUGUGUUCUAAUCUGUUAAUAUCUAAUAUUCUAUUCUCUUCCAAGAUAUUAAAUCUAUGCUUAACACAAUCCAAUCAUAUUCGUAGUUUGAAUUCAUAUGCAAAACACGCAUUCAAUCACAAGAUUUUCUCAUACAAUUGCACACGCCAUAAAUAUUAUUCUUAAUAUUUAUUUUCUGUGUGUUAAAUACGCAUUGUUUUAUUUAUUGUGAGUCUUCCAACACUACAAAUAAGAAUUAACUAAAUGACGACUAAACAUUAAAACAAAAAAUUCAUGUAUAUUUAAUCAAGUGCACAAGAAUUAACUAAAAAAAUAUUAAGUCUUGAAUUAAAAACUAUAAAUCAAAGGUUUCAUCCAGCCAAUACAUGAAAGAUUUAGCCUAACAUUGCCAAAUGAAAAUUAUACAAAAUAAGGAGAAACGUCACUCAAACCUAAGGAACUUGGAAAAAUCUGGAAAACUUCAAUGCAUUGCUUGUUACUCGACCCCAAAUGAUGCAAUUCCGCUUAUCAAAUGUAAAAAUCUCUAUUUUCUUGCUCUUCUAUGUUGAAAACUAGGUUACCUUUGAUUCUAGAGAGCCUCUUGAUAUAUAGGAUGCUAAAAAAUUCCAAUCCAAAAGAUACCAAAAUAAGAAAAGAAAAACAGAUUUUUUUUCCAUUUUACCUUGGGACGUGCACCUGGGCUUAGUUAGGGAACACACUUCUGUGAAUUUGGUAGCUUCAGUCGAUCUUAGAAGAGAAGGAAGUGCUCAUCUCAUUUGCAGGCCUAAGUGCACGCCUCCUCUUGUCCCGAGCAGUAUUUAGUAUUUUUGCCAUAACUCUCUCUCCCGCUAUCCGAUUAAGUCGAUUUAAAGUACACGGCCACAGCCUUGUUUAAGUAUCACUUUCCAAUUUGAACAUUUUCUAUGCCAAAAAUGAGUCUGAAUUUAAUUUUGAAAAUGUGAAGCAUAACUUUUUCAUUUGGAAAUUGAUGUGUGAUAAUACUUUGACUAUAUUUCCGUUUUUUUGACUUUUUUCCUAAUUCAAUUGAUCCCUAGAAUUCUCGAAUCUUCAUCAUGAGGUCCGAUAUAAUUUUUGAGUAUUUUCACUUUAGUCCUCAAACUUUGGAUCUUUUACAAUUGAGCAUUCCACCAUUUAAAUCAAUUUAUACCUAACAAACACAAUACACAUAAAAUUAAGCUAUAUUUUUUCCAAAUAAAUGAUAAAUACUCUAGCUUAAAAGCUUAAAUAAGUGUGUUGUUACAUUCCACUUUUUAUAGUCAAAGUCAAAUAAGGACUUAAGCUGAACAAAUGAUUUUAUGGGGCUUGACAACUACUAAUAUUUAAAUGACCUAAAACAAAAUAAAAUAGGAAGUUAUGGAUUUAGUUUCCUAAUAUUAGAAGUAAAAGGACUAAAUGUUACAUUAUACGAAGAUUGGGGGACUUGACUUGCAAUUAUAUUAUAAUUACCCAUUUAUAAUAAAGGAUAAGGAUUCCCUUUUGUUUCAUUUGGGGUAGAAGCCGCAGGCACAGAGGAAGGAAACCGAAAUAGAGAAUGAGAGAAGAAAGAACGAAAGAAAAAAAAUAGAGGAGGAAAGGAAGGAAUAAGUGUUGGUUUUCAACUUUCAUUCAUUAAUGCUCCUUAUUUUCAAGAGUUAAGUAUAAAUUAUGUUAAUUGAAUUAUGGAAAAUUUGAAGUUAGCAAGGUAGACUAUUUUGAAUUAUGAUUUAAUUGUAAGUGUGGUGCAUUAAAAAAUAAAAUAAAAUAAAAAAUUGGUUAGUAGAUGGUAGAAAAAGAAAGAUUUAUUGAUGGGUGAUGAGAUUUAAGGAACCUGUUCUAUAGUUUCUUUUGACUUGUGGGCUAGUGAAAAUAAAUGAUAUGGAUGUUAUAUAAGCAAAGAUUAAGAUAAUUAAAUUCACUACUAAACAACAGAGCUUUAGGCACAGAUUUUCCAUUCCUAAAGCCUCAAUUCCGUUGCUAAUAAUCUUCACUAACGGAAUAUUUGCAACCACAAAUCCGUUGAUAAUUUGAGGGUCACUAAUAGUUACCAAUGGAUCGUGCCGUAGGUAAAGAGUAAACAUUUUACCAACGAAUUUUUCAUUGGUAAAGUGUGAAUCUUUUACCAAAGAAAUUUUCGUUGGUAAAAGUUUUAACCAAUACCAACGGACUUUCCGUUGAUAAAUUUCUACCAUUACAAUUGGUAAAAAUCAAUGUUGUAAAUAACCGUAUGGUAAAAAAAAAAUAAUAAUAAUAAUAAUAAUAAUAAUUAUUAUUAUUAUUAUUAUUAUUAUUUAAUAAUUAUAAUUUUUUUUUUUUAAAUUUUUUUUAGCCAACUGAACUGAAAGGCUAAAAUAUUGUUUAACUCCUUAUUGGACUACAAAUUUAUAGAUGGCAAUUACAAAGAUAUUGUUGUAAACUUCCGAUGUGGGAUAAGUGAAUUAUUUUUACCAACGGAUGAUCUGUUUCUAAUUGCCAACGGAAUAUCCAUUGCUGAAAGAUCAAAAUGUUAAACGGUUAUAUUAGGCACGGAAUAUCCGUCGGUAAAGAGAUAUCAUUUUUACUAACGGAUAAUCCGUUUCUAAUUACCAACGUAAUAUCCGUAGGUAAAAGAUCAAAAUAAUAAACGGUUAUGUUAGGCACGAAAUAUCCAUUGGUAAAGAGAUAUCAUCUUUGCCAACGAAAAUUCGUUGUUAAUUAUCGUAUCUAAAAGUGAAUUACUUUUACCAACAAAUAAUCCGUUUCUAAUCACCAACGGAUUCAAUCCGUUGGUAAUUUUUCGUAGGUGAAAAGCUGUUAUUUAGGAGUGAAUUGAUGCUCUUAGCUAGAGAAAUUGAUUAGCAACCUGUCUAUAUUUAAAAUGUAUAGAUGGCAGUAGGUGAUGUGCAUGUUUGGGUCGAAGUUGUGAGAAACGAGAGAUAAAAGUGAGAUGGGUUUGAUAUUCUUGAUUUUAAUCCUGGAUUAUGUGUUCAUAAUUUCCUAAUUACUUGACUUAUAUGGGUUUAUAUUGGUGUAAGGAUGAAUUUUUGCUUUAGACAGCUAGAUGGGGGGACUUUUAUGUGAACAAGAGGCUAUCUGGUUUCCAUAAAAUAAGAAUUUCGGACUUACCUUUUAGGCUUCUUUUUAAUUCGAAACAAGGCUUUGUGAUGGGUUUUGGUUUCAAUAAAUCGAAUAUGAAACUUACUAAAUAUAUAGGUGUUUCCAUUGAUUGGUAGGGAAAUAAAGGAAACGAGUUGGACUUGAUAGAAGCUGUCUACUUGUUUAUGUUAUAUAUUUUUAGACAAGGAAGAACUAGAAAAGAAAUAAAGAACAACAAAUAGAGGAAUACAAGUAAGAUGAGUAAUCGGGGUAUCCAUAACCAAUUUGAAUUAAUACAAUUUUAUUAUUAUUUCAGGAUUGAGGUAGCGAGGAUAUUCGAAAAGCAAAAUGUCUAAAUUAGCUUGAAGCCUAUAAUUCAAUGAGUGGAAAAAUCUUAAAUAUUUUCAAGUAUUGAUAGAUUAACUUUACAAUACAUUAUGUGCUUUUAUAGGUUCGAUUACAUGAUUAUUUUGGAAAUAUUCUUUCACUAUGAUAUUUGUGGAAUUCAAAUAUUAGAUAUGAAAAUAUUUGUGAUUUGGAAUGUGAGACAUGUGACAUUGAGAUCGACCAAAAAUGUACCCAUGAUUAUAUACUUCUUUUAGUUCACAGAGGGAUUUUGACCGUGUUCUAGAAUUGAUUACCAGAAGUCUUGAGACCGGCUUUUGUUCACGGAGGAGGUCAAAGGCCCGUGACAAAAGUUCCUAAUCCGAGGGGCAGAUUAUAGAUUUUGGUCGGAAGGUACAUUUUUGGUGGAUCACAUGUGAUGUGAUGAGAUGAUGGUAUAGAUAUCAGCUAAUGACUCGUGAUUAUGAGAUGAUAUUUACAGUGUUAUGAGAAUGUCUCACUUUUUGCUAUAAUUGUACGAGUUUAUCAUUUGAAUAUUAAAUGAUAAACUAUAUGAGCUCGAUGUUUGGCAAAAAUGUUUAAAGAAGAAAGUAUAAUUAUUUUUGAACUCUUCCACUUACUGAGCUGUCAACUCGUAUUUUUCUAAAAUUAUUCUUACAAGUAAUAUCGAUCAUUGAUAACUUGAAUAGCCUGGUGAUUUAAGAGUUAGAGCCGUAUGAUAUAUUGAGUGAUAUGAUUCAUUUUGGUAAAAUAUGAAGUAAUUAUUUCGGGCCCAUUGUACUAUGUUUUUGUAAACAUUUGAUUUUGUAGCACAUUUUGUAGUAACUCAUAGUCAGCCUUAGUGGUGGAUCUGACAUCGAUUAUCGGCGUACAUCACAUUUCGAGUCCAUAAGGUAAUUCAGGACGGGUCGUGUUAUGUAUUUAUUACACUUAUCACAUAUAUCACAUGGGUUAAGCAAAAUAGUCAUAAUAUUUCCCUUUCUCAGCAAUCUUAUGAGCCAAAGACAUAGGCAAUGACUUGGUCAAAGAAACUCAUUGGAGCCAGAGCAAAACAAACCUUUACAGGGCCAAGAUGUUUUCUUCAUCAUUUUUACUAAAUAUGACACGUUUUUUGAAAUGAAAUAUUUUAAUAUUCGUCUCGCCAUAUUCUGAUCGAAUCUCUAAAUGAAGUCCAUGCAAACUCCAAAUUUAGCCUAUGUUGGGCACCUGAAGCCUCCAUAGUUCGACUUACUUAUACAUCUAUAAACAUAAACCUAUUGAAGAAACCAUCCCACCUAAAAUACAAAUAAAAAACAAUUCUUCGAGCAAAUGCAAACUGAAAGAUUUCAAUCAAACACCAACCUUCGAUUUGUACUGAGACUUCAUAAAAGGAUUUUCAAGCAAGGAAUUCAACUUAAACGACUUAUUUUUCAUUUAUUUCCUCAGUAAUUGUUCAACAUUACCAUUUUUACAAUUUUUUAGGUUUAAUCUAGAAGACAAUUAGAAUAUUAACAAGGCUAAGUAUAGGAGAGUUACAACCUUGCUCUACGCAAAAAGUUACAAGAAACACAAACUGCUUCACCGCAAUUUGUACACUACUCUUAAUUAAUUAUGUUAUCUUAAAGUUUUCUUUUAUUAUGUUGGUUUGAUAAACUUUGUUAGUUUCAUCAAUUGAUGCAAUUCGAUUUGUAACAAAUGCAUUAGUUUGAUACGUAGGCUUGGAAAGAAGCCUUUAAGGGUUCAGAAUUAUCUUCAGAAGUUUAGAAAGAUUUGUGGCCAAUAGAAAGGAGACACCAAAGAGAGUUCUUUUGUUUUGGUAUCGAUAUUUUUCUCAAGCUUGACUUACAAGCCACCUGAAGGAUUUUUAUUUUUUUUAAUGCAUUUUUCAAGGUGAUCAUUUGUUCAUAGGGACGGAGCUGGAAGAUAAGAUUUACAGGGCAAAUUACAUAGAAUUUUGAUUGUAGGGGCAAAAUUUAAAAGCUACAAGGAACUUUUAGAAAAUCUUGAAAAAAAAUUUAGGCAAUAUAUUGGAUUUUCAAAUUUACAAUGGGGCAGGUGACCCACUGUAAAUUCAUCCCUGUUUGUACAUAACUACGGAACAUAUGAUCAUGUCUUUCCAUACACAAUUGCUACUAUCCUAAGGUUUUUCCUUUCAAAAAUGUGCUUAAAAUAACAAACAUUUGCAAUUGAAGAGCUUGUAUGAGAUCUUUGAUUUCAAAAUAAUAUUAAAAAUAUAGUAUUUCAAUUUCGUUUGACAUUCCAUAAUGAUCCCAAAAAUUGAAACAAAAAUAACAAAAAAAUCAUUUACAUAUAAAGGGUGGGUUAUAAUGGUGGAGCGGGUUUGGGGUGGUAAAAAGGGAAUGGGUGGAUAAAAAGUUUAAAGAGUGGGACCGGGUGUAGGGAAGAAAACAAAAAGUUAAAAAAGACAACCAAAGACCCUGCCAUGUGGCAGACAAUCCUGUUGAUAUAUAGUGGAGCCAAUUGGAAAAAGAGAAAGCAUGUUUGGUAGAUAAGAAAUUGCUUAUUUACGAGGUGAGGCCUAAAAAAUAUGGGCACCAAAAUCUACCCAAGUGUGAAAAUUUCCCAAAAUGGUUCGAUAUGAAAAUUGUUAUGAAUUAAAAUAUAAUAAAUUUUAAAAUUAAAAAAUUGAUUCCCUUUGUUCAUACAAAAAUAUGUAAACUUGAGCUUGUCUGGAAGUAUGGGAGAACGUUCUUUUACUGAUUUUAGUACCACUACUUGAUAAUUUAAUUUAAGCGUUCAAUUAAAAUUUGUUAUAUUUUUUCUAAAUUUACGUAUGACCUAAUAGACUCCAUCUAACAUAGCAAAGUAAAUCAAUAUCAAAUAUUUUCUAAAAUGUGCUUAAAAUAACAAACUUUUACAACUGAAGACCUUGUGUGAGAUCAUUGAUUUAGGAAGUCUUGUGUCUUGAGGUUUAAUGUGGAAAAACAUUAAAAUACGUUUGUACUGUAGUAAGGGAAAUGACGAAAAUUGCACCUAGAAAAGCCAAGAAAGCCCAAGGACAGCUAAAAUGGCCGUGUAUCCAUUUAGCCAUCCAGACUUUUGCUUUACUCUGGCAAUGAUUUUCAAUGUGCCACUUAACGUCUGCAUAUGCAUAAGGAUCAAAAAUCAAAUCAUUAGCUAUCUCGUUAAAGAAUUGCACCAAUUCUUCAUCACUGCCUAAAUUAUUGACAAGAAUUCUACUUUUUCAAAGCUCUUUAACAUCAUCAGCAUGAUCAAUGAAUGAAUCCAUCAGGAAAAGGUAUGACAUAAUGCAACAAUCGGAUGGGCCAUGGGGACACAUUUCAUAAGCCACCAAGUUUAAUAGCAAAUCUUUUGUUGAGCCAGUAACCACGAUUGGAGGCAGUCUAAGAGGACCAGAAAUAAGGUGAGAUUCGAACGUUACAUCAGUAACAUGGUUAGUUUGACUUGGUCUGAAAUGAAUUCAUGCUGAUUCGAGCUCCAGAAGGCCGUUUGACAAAUUUCUUCUUGUUUUUGUCUUCAGUAGAUGAUCCGAUGAUUUGUUCCCGAACUAGAUGUAGAAGGUGAGGAUGGCGUGUAUUCAUAUCUAUUUUCCAUUUCUCCUUUUCCUGAACACUGCAUCCCAUCAUUCGUUGCAUAAAUUUCUUGUCAGCAUUAGUGCAUGUACUUCCUGAGGUGGCAUUAUGACGGCCGUCUGAACAAGGAAAUUCUGAAUCAACUUUGUCGCUUUCAUUUUUGAACCCGAAUUUCAUCAAAACCUCUAGUACUUGUAAAGGAAUUUGAUUCUCCAACAAGAACAAGUCCGUCCACGCAAAAUCAAGGGAGCGAAUCCAAGGCCGUAUUGCAUCUACUUUAUUUUAUUCCAUAUCUGUCCCAUUGGAAUAAUUAAUCUUAGUUUUGGAAAAUAAGGACAUAAAUUGAAGCACAAAGCAAGCAUCAAGAAACAUCAUUUUGUUGAACGAUUCAUCUUCAUACUCUUCAGUCGUGCCUUUCUCAUAGCAUUUGCGGGCCCUUUCACCCACCUUUGCCAUCUCUUCAUAUAACUGCCUGAUGGAUACUUGAUUACCACAGGCACGAACGAAUUUCUGUGCGACUGGAAUUUUUAGCUUCUCGAAUUCAUCGAGCUGUUGCUUUCCAUGAUGAUAAGGGCCUAUCGAAACUACAAGAGGAUCAUAACAUUUUUGUUGGAAGAUUUGUCACGCAGAAAUGAUGGAAUCCUUUGCAUUUGGGGUCUGUUGUGUCCUGAACAUGGUUCUCUACAGAAAUCAACCACUCAUCCUAGGAAAUGCUGUUGUUUGAUUCUUGUGAUUUUAUAUCAAUUUCAGUGACUUCAGCAUUUUGGUUAUCUCCUUUGGUACCAACUAUUGUCAUUCCUUGGAAGUUAGCAUGAAUUUUCGUAGACAUUUAUUAGCAGCUUGUUUGAUAAAAUAUCAAGUUCUUAACUAGUCAAAUUUCAAUUUUAAAAACACAUUUCAUAGAACUCACAAUUUUAAUAUUUUCAAUCAUACAUUUUAUAAUGACCCAGGCAUAGGCUCGAAAAUAUGCAUUUCUUUGUAACGACAUGAAAUCUGUGUUUAAACUGUUAUAUCAUAUGUAUUAUUUGCUUUGGACAGCAUAUGCUCUCUUAUCCAUCACGGAUUUUGAUUGCAUUAUCUAGGAUUCACACCUCAUGAGAGACUUAAGUUGAAUAUUGGUACUAAUUUGUAACAACCUGAGCCUGAUUUUUUGUCACGUUCCCAAGACCUAUAUUGAGUCCAAAUCUUGGAGGUCUCGGGAAAAAAGAAAAAAAAAAGACUUUUGUACCUCAAUUUUGCUUUAUUAAGUCGGUCUACUUUCUAAAUUCGUAAAAAAUACAAUUUUAUAUUAUCAAAAUUGUCAGGAAAAUAAUAUUUGGACCUCAUUUUUGUUAAUCAAGGCUGUAAUUUGACUUCGAAAAUUGUUAAAUCAUAGCCCUUUUGUGGAUAUUAAAACUAGAUUUUGAGUAACGUUAUUUAGUACUAGUAGCAACUCCCUCCCCNNNNNNNNNNNNNNNNNNNNNNNNNNNNNNNNNNNNNNNNNNNNNNNNNNNNNNNNNNNNNNNNNNNCCCCAAAAAAAAAAAAAAAAAAAAUCACUGAGUGAAUCCAUUAGCCAAAUUAACAAAAAACCAAUUAUUACCUGUUUUGCAUACAUGCAAAUAAUUUGAAAUUUCUUGAAUGCUAUAAAAUUCAACAAUUUAACGUACUGCUCUUUUCUGCAGCUGCAUGUGCAUUUACAAGUAAUUGAGUGUUGAAAAAUUGUUCAAAAUCAAUGGAAUGAUAAUGAAUUUAUUGUUGGGCUCAAUUGUGGAAUUGGUAAAAUCAAAAGAAAUUGAAAAAUGCAAAUUUUGAUUUUUUGCCUAUGCGUAAUUUUGUGCGUACGCGAGAUGUGUUUUGGCAAAAUCAAAAUUAAAUUUUGCUUUUACUAUGCGUACACACGGUUUAUACUAUGUGUACGCAUAGUGUUAAAAAAUAGCUGUUGCCAGAUUUUUCAAUUUGAAACUUGGGAGCCGUUUUGGACUAAAAGUUAUCACUUUUCAUCUUGUUUUGACACCAUUUCAUGAUGCAUUGAUUGAGACCUAUAAAUAGGUAAUGAAUGAUUAAUACAAACAUUAUUAGAAUCAUUGAAAAUAUCAUGAGAUCCAUAUAUCAUGACCCCAAAAUGAUUUUGGGAUGUUUGCAUGGCUCAUCAUAGAUCGCACCAUGUCUAACAAAUUGUGAUUCCUCCGUUCAGAUACACCAUUAUGUUGCGGUGUAUAUGGCGGAGUCCACUGCGAGAGAAUCCCGUUCUCUUUAAGAUAAUCUAAAAAUUUUCCCUUUAAAUAUUCUUCACCUCGAUCUGAUCUUAGCGUGAGUAUAUUUUUACUAGUUUGUUUCUCUACUUCAAGUUUGAAUUCCUUGAACUUUUCAAGUGCUUCAUGCUUGAAUUUCAUCAGAUAUACAUAACCAUAUCUAGAAUGAUCAUCAGUGAAUGUGAUGAAGUAAGAGAAACCACCUCUGGCAGUUAUUGACAUGAGUCCACAUACAUCAGUAUGUAUUAGUCCCAGCAGUUCUGUGGUUCUUUCUCCUUUUCUAGUAAAAGGGAGCUUGGUCAUUUUGCCUAACAGGCACGACUCGUAUCUGUCAAAUGAUUCAAAAUCAGUUGACCCUAAGUAUCUAUCUUUAUGUAACUUGAAAAUGCGUUUGUCGUUAAUAUGACACAAUCUGCAAUGCCACAGGUAUGUAUUAUUUAGAUUAUCACUUUUAUGCCUUUUAUUUUCUAUAUUCAUAAUAGACGACUCAGUAUCAAGAAUAUAAAUUCCAUUCUGUAACACACCACAACCAUAAAAGAUCUUAUCUUUAUAAAACGAACAACGAUUGUUCUUAACAUUAAUUGAAAAACCACUCAUGUCUAAACACGAAAUAGAGAUAAUGUUUUUACUAAUGGCGGGAACAAAAUAGCAAUUCUCUAAUUCUAAUACUAAACCUGAAGGCAGUGGUAAGAAGUAUGUCCCUACAGCUAAUGCAGCAACUCUUGCUCCAUUUCCCACGCGCAAGUCAACUUCUCUUUUCUGCAGUGCUCUACUUCUCUUUAGUCCUUGCAUAUUUAUACAAAUAUGAGAUCCACAUCCAGUAUCUAAUACCCAAGAAACUAAUGAAGUAGAUAUAUUAACCUCGAUAACAAAAGUACCUAAAGUAGAAGUUUCAGAAGACUUCUUUCCCUUCAAGCUUGUGAGGUAAGCCUUGCAGUUCCUCUUCCAAUGACCUUUCACUCCACAAUGAUAACAUGGGUCAUCAGAUUUGGUAUUGUCCUUGCCUGCUUUGUUAUUGCCCUUAGCCUUUUUGGAUGUUUUCUUAAAACUUCCUUUGAUUUUCCUCUUAGUUCCCUUGGAGGAAUGAAUAGCUAAGACAUGUCCAGUGCUAGCCUUGACAUUGGGCUCCACAGUUUUAAGCAUAUUAAGCAAUUCAGAGAGUGUGCAUUCGAUCUUACUCAUGUUAAUUAUCGUCAUCACUGUGUUUAUUGUAAGCAGCCACCUCUUCCUAAGUGAAAUUUUCAGUAGGCACCACUGGAAAGGACUGCUUAAGAACAUAUCCAAUUUUCUCAUGCUCGAGAACGAUUCUCAAAUUGCGGUGCCAAUCGAGAAAAUUUGGUCCGGUCAGUUUGUUGGCAUCCAGUAUGCCUCUCAAAUUCAUAUGAUUACUCAUGAUUCAAAAACUGUAAAUGACGAAAAAAAAUAGAAUUAAUAUGUAUUAUAAUGCAUGUGCAUAAAUUCAAUAUGGACUUUAAUUAAACGUGCUCCCACUGUCUAAAAUAAAUUCAUGACCCUCAUACAUAAAUUAUUUGAAUCCACACUUGAUUCACAGUGGGCUGGGAUCUCAUUCGUUGUAUCGAGAUCUUGAGUGUACUCAACAAAUCCUAAUAAAAUAUUUGGGUAGAUAUUAUUAUCAAUUGUAUCUCUAUACAACUCUCAGAUAAUUAAGCCGACAACUCUUUUGUCUUCACACAUUUUAUGUGUUAGCUUAACAUACCUGUAAAACUUAUCUCCUUGAGUGUACUCAACAAAAGAUAAAUUUUAGUUAAGUUAAACCCAUCAUUCAGAAAUAUCAAAUAUUUCAUAGUGUCAAACAUAUCCCUAAUAGACCAGCCUUGAGUGUACUCAACAAGUUAAGGUCGAUUUAGGAUUCUCGUUUUUCACUAUAAUGAUGGAAGGCAAAUAAUACUAACUUAAUAAUUUUUAACGAGGGAUUUAAUGUGCAAUGGUCUCAUCAAGCAAUUAUAUAUAUAUACAUAUAUUUAAACAUACAUCUACUAUGCGAAUAUAUAUGGAUGAUUAUGAACUUGUUCUAUCUAGUUUUUCCGAGCCAAAAGGAAAACUAGCUGGUCAAUUCCUAAGGGGUACAGUAUUUGACCAAUACCAAUACACCAUCUCCAUGGUAUCCACCUCUUCUUGCGCUUCCAAUUAGCCGAACUUGCAACAUGUAUCCUAUACUAGUUGGCACGCAGGCCUAAAAGAAAUCGGACUCGCAGGCCCAUAAUAAUAAUAAUAAUAACGGACUCCCAGGUCCAAUAUUUAAUAAGGAGCUCGCAGGCCCACAACAACAAUAAGAAGUAAAUCAACCAUUCAACACAUCCAUAUGGUCGAGUCCAUAAUCAUCCACAAACAUUCAUCACAUAAAUAUUUCCUAUGUAUAAUAUCUAAUAUUAUAUGCAAUGUCUCAUAAAUCUAAUAAUUAUGGUCGUCAAAAUUAAAUCAAAAUUUUGGGUUCGAGAUAAUUAAACAAUUAAUUAAUCAUAUUAAUUAAUUAAUUUAAUUGACGGGCCAAUUUAAUUAAAAUCUAAUUUUAACUAAAUAUCGAAUUAGAGUCCAACUCUAAAUCCAUAACUAUUGGGUGAAGUAAUUUAAUCAAAAUCGAAUUUUAAUUAAUUAUUAAAUUAGAGUCAUUCUCUAAGUACUAAUUUGCAUGGGGAAGUGGUGCUAAUUCAAAACAAAAUUUAAUUAAUUUAAUAUUAGAGUCCAACUCUAAUAAAAUUGAAUUAAUAUUUUAAUUUAGGACAAAAUUCCCAAACAUAAUAAAAAUCCAAUUAAGGGUCAAACUAAAUAUUUAAAUUAAAAUCUAAUUUUAACAAAAAUAUAAAAGUCGUCAAAUUUUUAAAUAAAUUUUUAAUUCUGGGUCAAAAUAAGGGUAUGGGUCAAACCCAGCUUAAAACUCAUUUUUAAAAUAAUUCAAAAUUCAAAAUCAAAACCCCUUUUGAAAUUUUACAAAAUUUGCCCAAAUAGCAGACCCUUCCAAAAUAAAAAUUUACAGAACAGGUCCCUGAUUUAAAAUUGCAAAUUGACCCAUUUUUUGUAAUUGCAACCAGGGGCCCCUAAUUACAUUAAUUGCAACAGAGGCCCCCGUCUCCACCAAAACCCUAAACCUAAAAAAAAAAAAAAUUUCUUUCUUUCUGGGGCGGCGUUGCCCGUCUGAAAUAACUAGCAGCGCGAGGGGUUGCUGGGCGCUGCCGAUUUGCAGCGCCGGUCGCGCCGCGCGGCGGCACCUCCCACCUCACGACCCAAAUUUUUUUUUUGUUUUUCAAGAACAGAUCCAAAAAGACCAAAAAAGAUUAAAACUAUAUUUGCUAGAUUUAGGAAUGAACGUGAUUAAACUAACGUUUAAUUUGAUCAACACGUUAAACAGUUCCUAACAAAUACAAAGUUGGCUCUGAUAUCACUGUAGGGAAUUUACUUAAACAUGCACAGCGGAAUUUAACAAAUUUCAAUUUUCAUUCAAGAUUCAGCUUUGUAUUUAAAUAAAAACUGUGAUAAAAAAUAUACAUUUACUUGUAAUUUGCAAACUCCUUCGCGUUAUUCCUUUCCAGCAGCUUGAAUCUGCCUCCCACAGCUAUCCAAUUGUCCAGCCUCCAAUGAAAUCCACAUAUAGAAUAGACUGCAACUGUUAGAGUUUCUCUCUUGUGCCAGUAAGAAUAAUGAAAACCUUAUGGAUCUCAAACCCUAACUAUGUAUAUAUAUAAACCCAAACGGACCCGAUCCGGUCCGGCUCAAUAUUUAAUUAAUCCAAUUAAUUAAAUCCGGUCCGUGAAUUAAUUAAUCCAAUUAAUUAAUUUGGGAAUAUAAAUAACAAAUUCAAUUAAUUCAACGAUUGUUAAAUUAACCAAUUGACAAUUUGCAAUCUUCUAAUUCUCUUUUGUGUGCGACCCAUUAGAUUCCCGACUACGAUGCCUAACGUCGUGAAAUAUUAUUUUGAUCUAAUCAAAAUUGAUAAAUUAAUACACCCUUUUAAUUUAUCGUCAAUUCACACUCGCCGUCCCUGAUUGACAUCUAGCAAUGUGUCAGGGCAAUACAUGUGACGGGAAAUGUCACGUGGUAUGACAAAAUCAAAUUUGUUCGUUUACCUUGAAACUAUUAUCCCUUUGUCAAUAUGAUCCGAUCAAUUACGAGAUAUGGAAUUGUGUCAAUCUCGAUCAUUGAUCAUAUCUUUCACUCCACUAUUAAGUCAAUAUAAAUCGAAAACUCCUUUUCGACUUAUGAGUACACCUUGGCCAAGGAUUUCAUCAUCGACUUAAUUGAAUGAAACGCAGAUCAUAAUCUCCUACUAUCUAAGAGUGACAAAUCCUUUAUUGAUCAAUCACAACCUUCAUACGAUUCUUGACGUACCCGAACGAUGUCGUAUUGCGGCCCCUUUCAGAGCAACAUCCAACACCGCAAAAGUAUGACUGUCCUCAUAUAAGGUACCAUGACGACCUCAAGUCAAAGGACCAAUUCCACUACCGAAUGUUAGAUAUUAGCCACUGACACUCAGAUAGUUAUCCAUGUGGAAUCUCUUAGCGGGUUUCCAAUAUUUUAUUCUAUAACAAAACAUCCACGUGUUCAUUUAAGUGUCAUCACACUUUAACUCGUGAGAUCAGCUACUUACUUCACAAGUAAGAAAUGCCACACAUGAUGGUCUAACUGUAUUAACGAUAUUCACAUCUCGUUAUUACUUACGACCAUGAUUUAUUCAAGAUCCAAUUAUAUGUAAUUUGUAUCUCACAAUCACAACUCCUUGUAAUUAACAGAUUACCUAAAAAUUGGAUCUUCGGAUUCUAUUAUUUAAUAUUAUUUAUUACAAAAUUAAUUUAAAUAAAUAAUAGAUCUCACCAAAAUCAAAUGCAUUAAAUAAAUUAAAAGCGUUUACAACCUAAAUCGAUUGGAUCUAGGGCAUAACACUUACACAAAAGAGCUUAGUACAAUAUUAAAUUUCGACUUGAAAAAGCAAACAUAUUGAGGUGCAUGUCACAAGUAUAUUCUUGUUCCAAAAGAUCUCUCCUUAAAUUUAUUUUAAUUUCACUAUUUAACAAAUUGAUUACAAAUUUUGUGUUCAUUAUAAUUGACAUCAUAUUAUAUACUCUUCUACAUAUUUGGUAAGGUAGAAAAUAUAAAAUUAAACAAAAUUAAAGAAAAAAGGAAAGUUGAAAUUUUGACUAUUAUCAAAUGCAGUCGAGUCUAGUAGUGCUUAAUACAUAUUAUUUAUAUAAAAAAUGUUAUGGUCUCCUUUGUUCAUCUCGUUCGGUUACUUACGAGUAAAAAACUAAUGGACCAAGCAAUACAAGUAAUGUAAGAGUUUGCCAAUCCUAGUGUUGUAUAUGACACAAAAGGAACUAUCUUUUUAAUAUCACAAGUUAUCUUAUAUAAAAUAUGGUAUGGGUCUCCUUUGUUCAUCUCUAAACAACUUUAAAAAAGUUUAGAAUUGUGCUAGGAACUAUCUUUUUAAUAUCACAAGUUUAGAAUAUUAACACGCUAAACACGAGGAAUUAUGAAACCCAAUAGACACACCAUGAAAAUCUAAAAAAUUAAUUAAUUAAUUUUUUAUUUGAUUUAGAUAAAAAUUAAAAUUUUGGCUGAUUUUGAUAAAACUUGAUAGAGAGUGAUUGAAAUGUUAUGAAUCCCAUAAAAUAUGCGGUUAAAAUAAAUUCUUGAUUUUGACUUGGAUGUUAAUCAACUUUUUUAGAUAAACCUAAUAAGAGAUUGUUUUUGAUGUUAUAAUUUCUGCUUUGUAUUUUGUCUGAAUUUUAAAAUCCGAAGUACAAUUAGGAAUAUUUCCUCUAUAUUAUAGGAGGAGGAUAAAAAAAAAAAAUUUGAGAUCUAUGAGAAUGCAACUUUCAUUUAUUGAUUACAUGAAGGUUAUUAUUAACUAUACGUUCGUAACAUAUUCAGUAAAGUGGAGUAAAUAAUAUUAUAUAUUAUUAACACAGAAAAAAAAUAUAAUAUUAUUUAUCGUAUAAUUUUAUUCAUAUUGUAUACCAAACUUGUCAUUAGUGACGGAAUUCAACAAAAAUGGCGAAUAAAAUGGUUGUAUCUUCCUUCAACUUGUUAAAAAAAAAAAAAAAAAGUUAGUUAACAAAAUAAUAUAUUGAACUUGAAACAUAAUGUGUCACAAAUUAAAUUGAGACCCGGUCAUCUCUCUUUCCUUGGGAAGAUUGGGGAUUAAGUUGACUAGACUUAUACAAGUGCAUAUAAUAAUGUCUUUCCAUCUAUAAGUCUAAUUUUUUGCACCAAUUAUGCGACGUUGUUAAUAAAGAAAAAUAAGUUUAAGUUUUGAGAGGUUUACAUGUUUGACAAUAAAAACCUGACUAGAUCUUUAUUCGCCUCUUUACAUGGUACUUAUAAGUUAGAACGAGAAGAUCAAACAACUCAUAAAUAUAAUGUAAUAAUAUGUUGAAUUUUCACUUGUAAAUCCUAGAAUUUAAUAUGUAUCACAAAAGAAGUUAUUUUAAACAACUUCACGCAAAUAUCACAAGUUAAGAAUACCAACAUGCUAAACACGAGGAAUACUUUAUAGCAUAAUCAAGUUUUUAGUUAUCGCCACUUAUUUACUAUAUCUUCAAAAUUUUACAAUUUCUCCAAAGUAAAUAUAGGAAUAUUGUUGUAACCAUAGAAGAACAAUAAUAGAAAUUCUAGAUUUAUAAGCUUACAAUUUUAGUUUAUCAAGUGCGUGGAUGUUAUAUCAAUGACUCACAAACACAUUGAAAUGUUUAGAAAUGUGAAUUUAACAGUAUUAUUCUAACAAGCAUCAUGCUUGCUUCGUGCUUUUUCAAUUUCUCUUUGACAUACCAUCCUAAUCCAAUCCAAUUUGGCCGAGAGAAUAGGAUCUAAUCAGCUUCAUAACAAGUUUUCGAAAAAGGUUGAAGAAAAUUUGUUCUACAAUGUUAAGAUACAAUUCAGAAAUCAUUAAUUCACAAAAGGAUUCCCUCUAAUGGAGAAAAAUAUAGGCAACAUUACAACAAUAUAACUAUCAUGAUAUUUCCAGUUUAAUUAAAAAGUUGAUUAAGGAAGAUGAGAGUUGGAGUCUUGUUCUCAGUAAUUUUCUGAGUAGAGACACGAAAAUAAUCCACUGUUCCAUUCCGUUCGGUUCAUUGUUAUAUCAACACGAAAUCCAACCUAACUAGACCAUUAACGCGCCCUUCGGAGCAUAUUCCAGUGGUGCAAAAGAUAAGGGUGGAGUAUACUCAGCCUUGCUGACAGUCGUAGUUUGGGGGUUCGAUUUCUGACACAUGGAUUGAGACUUUUUGUGGGUACCAGUGUACAGGCGCUCUUGUCCCCUCGCCUGCUGGGGCACAUCUCGCGAUUAACCUCCCUCACGAUACUCCAAAGAUGGGGCGGUGGGGGAUCCUUAAGUUGGAAUUCAAUCCUUUUUUUUAACUAGACCAUUAACACUGUGGAAAAAGCAGUAGGUACAGGCACAGUGUACCGGACAUUUUACAGGAAUUUAAAAUUGUAUCAGGUGGCCCGCAGCUUCUGCGUUGACUAAAAAACCCCAUGGAAACCAAAGCGACGCAAAAGAAAAGAAAAAAAAAGGGAAAAACGUUGAGAAAGCGGGAAUUCUGUACGGACCAAUUUGAGCACAGGUUUAUUCUUUGAUCCGGCACCCCAAGAAUCAAUAAAGCCUCCUGUACAUAAAGGCUUGACAGAAAAUUUCCAGAAAUUUGAAUUUUAGGAAAAAACGUGCUCCUAACGUGAAGAAGUCAGAGAAGUAUUCUUUCCUUUAUGUUUCAAUUCGGUCAUUUAUUUGGAAGUCAAGGAACUCUACUCACGUGAAGAAGUCAGAGAAGUCCCGCCAAAGUAUUCUUCUUACCCGCCCAUUGCUACUCGUGAAAUUAAGCCGGAAGUAUGAUUUGAGGAUGAAGUCUGGGGAAGACAAAGUCCCGAAAUCUGGUGAAGGUGAAAUCGAAGCCCUCACUCCUCUACAGUCCUCGAAAUCGAAGUCCUCACUCCUCUACAUUCCCCAAAAUCGAAGCCCUCACUCCUGGAUUGUGAAGAUGGUGAUGCCCAACUCCGGCAAUAGCGUAAUCUACAUUUUUCCUACACCGGAAAACCAAGGGGAGCCAAUCUCAGGUAGCUGUCAUUAUGUUUUUAAUGUUUUAUUGUCCACUUAAUACCUCUUGUUAUUUAUACCAGAAAUAAGAAGUUUAAAACAACCUUGGCGCAUUAGCUACUCUCCAUAGAAGACUGUAAUUAAGUUGAUUUGCAUUAAGUUGAACUUAUUUGUGAAAUCGUUGUUAAGUAAGAUUUCAGUGCUUAUAGCUUAUAUAUGAGAUGUUAGGGAGAAGUCUUUCAGAGUAAUUUUUUCAGUGCUUAUAGGUUAUAUAUGAGAUGUAAGGUGGACCAUGUUCCAGUAUCAGAACGGGUAAUUUUUUCAGUUGUUAAAAAAUGAUGUGGCUUCUGUUCCUCAUUUUGACCGUGUUCUGUUUUGGCUGGUUAACUCCUAAUUGAAAAGUGUUUUGCUGAAUGUUAUUGCUCAAUGUGUUACAGUAGAAGAAAAUAUGGAAGACACCCAUGAUGAAUUUUUGGUGGAGAGAGAUGUUGACGAGAAUGUUGCGAACAAUGUAAUAUCAGUGGAAGAGCAAACGUUAGGAAAAGAUGGCCCGAUGGUGUCGGAGGUGGGUAUGACGUUCAAGGAUGAGAAAAAAUUGUGGGACUUCUAUAAAGGAUAUGCAUAUUAUGUUGGGUUUCUAGUUAGGAGAAAGAAUUCGAAAAAAGGAGACCAUGGAAAAAUGAAAUAUGGCACCUUUACAUGUAGUCGUGAAGGCCAAAGAACCACUAAUACAAGCGGUUCUUUGAAGCCCCAACCAACAAUUCAUAACAAAGUUCACCUUGACCACAACCAUACAACAAAUUAAGAAAGCUCACCUCGACCACAAUCAUAAAACAAGUCCUUCAAAAUCAAGAUUGUAUCGCUACAAUUGGGAGAUAAGUUCACAUGUGAAACGAAAGCUUAAAGUAAAUGAUUUGGCGGAAUUCCAUUGCACAAAAGCUACAACUCCGUAGUGGUUGAAGCAGGGGGUAUAAAAAUCUUACUUACAUGGAAAAGGACUGUCAAAAUUAUGUUGAGCAAGUGAGAAGAUUAAGACUUGGGGAAGGAGAUGUCUCAGCAAUACAGUCCUACUUUUCCAGAAGGAAAGCCCAGUGCUCGAGAUUCUACUUCAACAUAGAUUUGGACAAUGAGUCUCGAUUGAGGAAUGUCUUUUGGGCAGAUAAUAGGUGUCGGCAAGCGUACAAAGAGUUCGGCGACGUUGUUACAUUUGACACCACUUACUUAACUAACAAGUACGAUAUACCUUUUGCCCCUUUUGUUGGCGUUAAUCAUAACAGACAAUCUACUUUGCUCGGUUGUGGUUUGUUGUCCAGUGAGGACACAAAUUCUUUUUUGUGGCUAUUUAGGACCUGGCUCUAGUGUAUGUACGAAAAAGCUCUCCAUGGAAUCAUUACCGAUCAAGAUAAAUUCAUGCAAAAUGCAAUUGAGAUUACUUUUUCGAAUACGAAACAUAGAUGGUAUUUGUGGCAUAUUCUGAAGAAAUUGCCAGAAAAAUUUGGAUACCAUGUCGAUAAGUCUUCGAUUUUUUCGAGCAUACAUAGGUUAGUAUAUGAUUCGUAGUUUGUUGAAGAAUUUGAAGAGGGUUGGAGAGUGAUGAUCGACACAUAUGACUUUCAUAGUAGUGAUUGGUUAUCGGGACUGUACGAUAAUAGAAGUCGUUGGGUUCCUUGCUAUUUAAAGACCACAUUUUGGGCAGGAAUGUCAACAACCCAGGGCAUUGAGAGUAUAAAUGACUUUUUCGAUGGGUAUGUUCAUGCGAAGAUCUCGUUGAAGCAGUUUGUGGAGCAAUAUGAAUGAGCACUGAGGAAUAAAGUUUAGAAGGAGUUCCAAGUUGACUUCAAGUCAUACUCACAAAUGGUACCUUGUACAACAACGUUCAAAAUGGAAAAGCAGUAUCAGAAGUGUUAUAUCAUUUUGAAGUUCAGAGAAGUUCAAAUUGAAUUGUCUGGGAAGGUUUAUUGUGACAUCAUAUCUACUACGAAGAGCACUACAAGGAUGACCUACGAAAUAUGGGAGGUUGUGAUGUGUGAUGUGUGAUGAGCGAUGAAUAAAAAAAAAUUUCUUCGUCUCAUUCUAGAGAGAUAUUUGUGAAAUCGUUUGUAGUUGCCGCUUGUUUGAGUUUCGGGAAAUUCUAUGCCGGCAUGCUAUUGUGGUAUUGAUCCGAAACGAUGUCAUGUCACUGCCUGAGAGAUAUAUACUAUGGCGAUGGAGGAGAGAUGUUUGUAGAGCACACACCAGGGUCGCAGUGAAUUACGAUGGUCUGGUAAGUACGCCAGAACAGUUGAGAUACGACGAUUUGUGUCAGAUGUUGCAAAUCUUGCUGCCGAUUAUGAAGUGCAGUCCCGUAUUUUUCUCACUAUUUUUGAAAGGAAGCGACUAAUGAGAUGAUAAAAUUCUUUCUACACGGUGAUAUGGUCUCCACUUUUCUUCCUUAACCUUGGCCUCCAGCACAAAAUAAAAAUAUUAUAAGUUCUGAUGGUUUCUUUAUCUGAUGAAAUAUGGAGGCUGUAAUUGUUGAGCAAAAGGCAGGCCUUUGAUAGUUGUCGGUAUUCACUGAUUCUAACUAAAGAAAAAUGCUACUGUAGUUUGAUCUUUUCUUGCCAAAGGGAGGAAAAAAAAAAAAAAGUGCAAAACACAAAAUGAAAAUAAGAACGAAAAUGGCAUGCUUUCAAAAUGAAAAUUGUUCUUCUUCGAUUUUCUUCAUCGUCUCUCGGUAUUACAAGCCCAAACACACAACUAUUUUGGGAACGAGAAUGAAUAUAACUAAUAAUCAUGUCGGCCCCUUUCUUCUCCAUUAUCGUUCGAGAGCUCUUUUCCUUUGCGAAAGGUCACGUUCAAUAAAAUCUUGACGUUUCGUUUCUCGACAAUUCGAGCUAGAUGUUCGAACAUACUUGGCAAAUUGUCGACUUCCUCAUUAGCAGUAGGAUUCAUCACUUCCUCAUUAAUGACACUCGACUCUCCACUUGAUUCUUCUGUUCUUACCCAGUCAAAAAAUUCGCAAGAGCUACUGCAAGUUUUGAAUAGCCUACCUUUGUUACUGCCUUCCUUUUCAACUGCAAAACAUUUCUGAAUUCCAACUACACACUGUGGACAGCAAACUUUCCUCUUGCAAUCUUCAAAGUAGUGCUUUGUGCUUCUACAAACGUGACAAACACCAUAAUUCCUCUCUCUCAUCCUUACGUGGCAAAAAAUAUUUAGAGGAUUUCAUUCCAAUCUUAAAUGAAAUAGAGAUCCCGAAAAAACAGCUUCAUAAAAACAUAAGCAAUAUUUUAUACCACCAUAGGAAUCCAAUAAAUAAAUUCUACCAUCCAACAUAGAAUUCAAAGAACAUUCCAGCAACGGACCUUCAAAAUCAUCAAAAUUGAUUAUGAAAAUCAUUCCAGCAAUGAACAUUCCAUCACCAGAAAAUCAUUCAAAGAACAUUCCAGCAACGACUUCUAAAUUCGAUAGGACCAAUUCCAUCAAAAUCAUCAAAAUUCAAAGAACAUUCCAAUGUAGAAUUGAAAGAAAAUUCCAUCAAAGACUUCUACUUGCACUUACAGGUAUAACCGAAAAUCAUUAAAAUUGAAAUGGGAUACUAUCAUCACCAGAAAAAAAGACCAUACGAAUCACAAUUUAAAUGUUCUCUCAUUUCACUUUCUCUAGCCAAAUACAGUGAUUUAAUACUUCUAAACAAAUAGAUUAUGAAAGUAAUUUAUCAUCUAAACUCGAUAAGACCAAUUUCAACAAACUAUAAAUGCCUCUAUUUUUUUGUACAUAUCAAAAUAAUGAAAAUUUCAAUAAUGAAAGUUUAAGUCGGAACAAAAAAAUCCAUUGCAUACCAUGUCAUAAGCUGCAGAUCAACAGGUUUUCAAGAGCAUGAAGAUUAUAUAAAAACCCAAAAAACAUACCUUCCCAAGAAAUGUGCAAAGGAUAUGAAACAAAUAAUAAACUUUACUCGCAAAAUGGGAUGGAGAUAAGAUCUGAAGAAGUUGGCCUCUCAAUGGAACUGUUGAAUGACGCCGGCCGGAGAUAGUCACUACUACGAUGGCAAAAUGGGUAGGAGGUUAGGGUUUAUGCAAGAGUAAUAGUUAUGUAGCUGAAAACCUUGGGCUUAUUCACGGUUCAAUUGAGCGAAAUUUGCUGGAGAUGAAAACCAAGUCGACGGCCUAAUCUUCAUGGGUGUGUUUCUCUCGGCAGCGAACUCUUCAUGGGUUUCUUUCUCUGUUUGGCGGGGAGCAUUUUGUGGGGUGGAAAAUGAGUUUUGGUGAAAGAAGGGGUUUUCAUAUGGGACAAUUGGUCUCUAACUUUUCCAAUUUUUUUUUAAUAUUUUUUUAUUACUGCUAGCUCAUCUGGAAUUUUUCUAUGAACAAAAAUCUGUACACAUAGUAUAAUUGAUUUCUCCAUGAGACAUGUGAAAUUAAGGCCCUAUUUAUGGCCCUUUAAUUUCAAAAAUUGUAGUAUGGAAUAGUGAUUAAUGUUGAAAUGUGUGGUUAAAAAAGAAGGAAAUUUUUUUGAUUUAUGUAUAAUGUUAUUUUAAAGAAGAAUGUGUAGUUAAAAAUGAGUAUUGUAGAAAAAAUAGAAUGUAGGAAAGUAAUUGACAAACAAGGGCUAAAAGAUCACUUUACUAAAGUUGAUAGCCUUGGGAAUGGUGUUCGUUGGUUUGACAAUGGAUAGAAAGUCAAAUUAUUUCUUCUUCGAUAGAAAUAAGGAUAUUCUAAUGCAAGUAAAAAAUGUUGUACAAGAUGCAAGAAUACUUUCAUUUGAGGUCAAAACCUGGUAACGACUCAAGACAUUCACUUCAAAUGAUAGACCAUAUAAAUAUGCUUUCAUACGUAUACGUAUAAAUAAAUACAAAUAUUUUCUAAACUUAUUAUCUUCACAUUGAAAAGUAGAACUGAAUAGUCAAAAAAUCCAUAAAGUGCUAAAAUUGUUCUUUUGUCAUUUGUGCAAAUAUAUAUUGGGCCACACCUUCUGUUAGAGAAACUUUAUUGGGCCUCAUAAUCUUAGACUGGCCCAACCCAGUAAACAAUAGCCCUCUCCCUCGUUCUCUCUCGUCUCUCUAAAUUCCAUUUUUGUAAAACCCGAAUUUUACACUAUAAUUGUCCAUUUUUAUUUUAUCUUUUUUGCAUAAAAACCCAGUAAAAGUAUUCAUGUUCAUUAUAUGGAAUUUCAAUAGAAAAAAUGAAAAUUCGCUUGGUCAUGAAGUUUGAAGCUUAUUAUUCUAUCUAUAGUGAGUAUUCUCCUCCCAUUUUAAGAAAUGAAAAUUCUUUUUUUAAUUUCUUAAAUUCAAUUAGUUUUUAUUCUAAUGAUGUUAGCUUUUCCUAAUAGUAUUUAAAUGAACUUUUUCCUUUUCUUUUUCAAAUAAAGACUGUUCUAUAAAUUUUGCCCGAUUAUGACUAGAUGGUUGUUUUGUGAGUUUUUAAUACAUUUUUUUCAUCAUUUUCUUGAAGUAUUGCAACCCCCUCAAUGCUAUCACUGAUUUACGUUAGAAUUUUUAACUUUGAGUGUAUGUGAAUGUGGGUGAAGGAUAAAUGGAAAGUAAAGGAAUUGAAAAUUAUAGAUAAUCCCCACCCAAAAAAACGUUCAUCAUGGGAAAUAAAUCCCUCUGAUUGAAAAUGGAAGAUUGAUUUGUGUGCUUACUAACACACAGAUAAAGGCAUUUUUAUGUUCUGUAUUUGCAGUUUCAUAUAUUUAUAUCAGCGGUUUUUUAGGUGAUAUGGUAAUAGGUAAAUCAAGAAAAGUAAUGGUUCUCGGAGAAAAGAGAAAUGAAAAUAUAGUUACACGAGGUAGAAUUCCAGGAAUGCAGAAUUGGAUUGCGAUUUAAAUGUAUUUAGUUUUGAAAUAUGAAAAUGCGUGAAAAGUCUUAAAAUGAUAUUUGCAUGGUUAUUAAUUCCUUUAUAUGUUCCAUGGUGGAAAAGUUAACUUGCAUUUGCUAUAUGGUCAAAUGUUGUAAAUAAGAAAUUUUUCUUUCCAUGCAAAGGGUAGUGUGUAAUUUAAAUAGGCGUAAUAGGAUGCCGAGACACCUUAUGAGUAAGCUUGGGAAAAAAUAGUAAAUAAGUCUCACAUGAGGCGUAAGCCUUAGUAAAUUGAGGUUAGCGCCAGACGUGAAAUGCCCAAUCCAAAACUAAUUAUCCAACAAUCCGUUUAUCCUUAAAUCCCAACCCAACUUAUAUAUCAUAAUCCAAAUCCAAUAUCCACAACAAUCCAUUUGCCCAAUAUCUGAAAAAUCAAAUACGUAUACGCUGCUCAUCCUGCUAUGUCGUCUCCGUUGCUUCGACUCCGACAGUCCGACUCUCCAGGACCACGAUUCCGUCUCCAGUCUCCACCAUCAGGUUAGUCCACUGUCCAUUCGGCCAUUCCCAUUCAAUUUGGCCUCAUUUUCAUCACGUUCAUUUGUUUUUAGAUUGACCUCUUUCCCUUUGCCUUCAAGUAGGGUCCUGAAGAGUAUGAUGUAAUAGUGCCUGGGACGGGUCUCAAGGAAUGCAUUCUCAUCGGUCUCCUCUCUGUUGAUGGCUUUAAGGUUGAUUUCCUUUUUUUUCCUGUUAAUUUAAUUAUUUAUUAUUUUAUUUUUUUGAGAAAUCAAAUGUUCGGACUUCGGAGAUUAUUGUGAUUAGGAUUAAUUGUUAUUUAUUUAUGCUUAGAUACCAGGAAGUAGACAGAAUGGUGAAAGGGAAAUUACUUGGCAGUAUUGGCCAAUUUCUAUCUCUAUAUUUACCCAGAGAAGUGGAAUUGUAGAGGGUUCUAAUUGAUGGCUGCUAUUGUAUGCAGCAAAGGUAUGGACUAUCAAUUCUUAAAUCAGUUUAAUGUGUUUCGAUUUGAUCUAAUGUAUGUUUACAGUUUACUCAAUUGGUUUCUCAUAAAAUUCAUUCUACUUCAUAUCCUCUAUUCAUUAUUUGGGUGAAAAUGGUUUAAAGAUUUGAUGGAAUUGUUUGAUUUCAAUGUAAAUGUGAAAAGAUGGUGAAUUUGAGAGUAUUCUGGACAUGACCCGAGUUAUGGACAUUAAUUGAUAGUAAUCAGAAAGUGAAAUGCAUUCAAUAUCUUCACGUUAAUAAAAUAUAAUUAAGUUUUUCUUGUUAUUGUUCUGUUACAAGUUGAUUGUUUAGGUUGUCUACCAUUCUUGUGUUCAAGUCUUUUUGAUAUUACAAUCAAUAAUAUCAUCAAGUCUCCUUUUUCAAUUCUGUAAUUCCAAGAUCAUUUCUAUUCAAUUUCUGCUAUUACUACUCCCCUAUCCGUUGCUGUUUAGUGUGUGUGGAAAAAUGGUAGGAGAGUGGAAUAUUCAAAGAUAAAAAUUCAUUUUUAAUGUGAAUAUUUAUUAUAUUUUUUCUUUUGAUAUGGCUUUAUGCUUAUCUUUUGGCAUAAUGAUGAUAUUAGUUUAAAGUAAACUAAUUAACAGUGAUAAAGGCGUGAUUUUUUCAGGAAUCAAGGAAUUAGAGGGAAAAACUGGUAAUAUAGCCUGCAGUUUGUGCAUUGAAAUGGUGACACCACUGUGCCUCAAUCAAAAGAUCCAAUCAUUUCAUUAAGCUUUAGUAAGUUUCUUUGGUACUAAUUAAAAUGGUGUUGUGGAGUGGGGGUAGGCGUGGGGGUGGGGUGAAUUUUUAUUUUCCUUCUCAUUUUCUUGGUUAGCUUAGGUUAGCAAGGUGCUUGUUUUUGUCCUGCACAAAAUUUUAAUUGAAGAUAUUAUCAUGUACUGUGAUAUCUAGUAGGCUAGGGAAACAAAGUGGUAAUUAAAUAAGCUAUAUUUAAUCAGUCAAAGACCAACCGAUAUUUUGGUUCUUUUUGCCAUUGGCAAAUUCCUAAUAAAAUAUUUUGGAGAUCCAAUUAGAAAUGGAAAAGGUAAUGAUAAUUUUUUUUCCCGUCUAGUAAAGUGGUAAUGCACCGCAAUAAUCUCCUAGAUGGAUAUAAAUAUAACCAAACCAGGUUGCAAUUUGUAUCUCUAGCCAGAAUCUCUGAAUCUGAACCACAUGCUUGAUGCUUCGUGUUUCACGGUUUAUAAAUUCUUGUUGUGUUACUUAUUGAAUAUAUUGAUACUAUUAUUAGUAUUAUUUUGACUAUAUUCUUUAUAAUAUAUUGAUACUGUUAUUAGUAUUAAUUGAGAUAUUUUGUAAUUAUUUUUUAGGUUAAUCAUUGGAUAUUAGAUAUACAUUCCUACACUAUGCCUCCUAAAUAUGAGUCUGGUGCUCAAAAGAGGAGAAGGAAACGAAAUGAAAAUGCAUUAAUUCAAAGUCAAGCAGGGAAUAUUAACAAGUACUUCAAAAGCAACCAUGUGAAUGCGUUGAAUGAGGAUGAAGUAGAGAUUCAAUAUGCCGAUGUUAAUGAAGUAGAUGAUAAAGAUGAAGAAGUGAGUCAACCUGCCAAUGCUAACGAAGUAGAUGAUAAGGAAGAAGAAGUGAUGAAGCCCCUCCUAAUAAUGAAGAAGAUGAUAGGAAGAAGAGGGUUGCUUUUUUCUAAAUUUGGAUGAUCCCGGAAAUUGGAAAAUCAUCGAUCAAAGAAUAAGAGAUUACUUAGUUGAAAGGGGUCCAAAAAGAGUUGAUGACAUCUCCUUUCCGAAAGACUAUACGAAUAGACAUUUCGAUUCUUCACAAUAUAAGCGAUUGCUACCAAAUGAGCAAACAGUUAAUAGAAGAUGGCUAGUAUAUUCGAUGUCUAUGGACAGGAUCUUCUACUUUUGUUGCAAGCUAUUUAAAACACCAACAAAUAUGACCAAAGUUGGCCAACUAGGUAAUGAUGGAUUCAAAGAUUGGCAUUAUUUGUAUCAGUCUAUUAAAAGUCAUGAAGGAAAUGAGGAGCAUUUACGUUGCAUGACUAGCUAAAUUGAAUUGGAAAAUAUGCUGCGAACAAAAACUACAAUUGAUAAAAGCAUUCAAUUGUUGAUUGAUACUGAAAGAGAACAUUGGAGACAUAUAUUAACAAGGAUAAUCGCUAUUGUGAAAAGACUUGCGAAAAAUACAUUUCCAUUUCGAGGAGAUGAUGAGAGACUACAUGUUGAGAAUAAUGACCUAUUUUUACAAAUGGUGGAAAUGGUUAGUAAAUUUGAUCUAGUAAUACAAGAGCACCUUCGGUGGGCUAAAGCAAGAGAGAUUCAAUAUACGUAUCUUGGCAAAAAAAUUCAAAAUGAGUUGAUACAAUUGUUGGCUAAUGAGGUGAGAAGUUCAAUUGUCAAGAAAGUUAAACAUGCAAAAUAUUUCGAAGUUAUGCUAGAUUGUAAUCCAGGUGCAAGUCACGAGGAGCAAAUGUCUUUAAUUGUAUGAUUUGUAGAUGAUUCGGCAAAAUUACCUACAGUUGAAGAACAUUGGCUAGAAUUUUUGAAGGUAGAUGACACAAUAGGACUUGGAGUUGCAAUCGAGUUUCAAAAGGCUUUGAUAAAACUUGAUCUCGAUAUUGAUGACAUUAGAAGGCAAGGGUAUGACAAUGAAUCUAACAUGAGAGGGAAGAACAAAGGUGUGCAAAGAAGAGUCCAUGAAAUGAAUCCCCUAGCUUUCUAUAUUCCAUGUGGCGCUCAUAGUCUAAAUCUAGCAUUAUGUGAUAUGGUGAACCGUUGUUCCAAAACUGUAUCCUUCUUCGAAGUGAUACAACGCAUCUACACAUUGUUUUUCUCUUCUACCAAGCAAUGAAAAAAUUUCAAAGAUAAUGCACAAGGGUUGACAGUGAAGUCAUUGUCACAAAUACAUUGGGAAAGUCAUGUUGAGAGUGUGAAGCCAAUAAUGGAGCAAACUGUACAGAUAAAAGAUGCAUUACUUAAUUUGGUAGAAUGCAUUACUUAAUUUGGUAGAAUGUAAUGAAGAUCCUAAAGUGAAGAGUGAAGCUGAGUCGUUAGCAAUACAUGAACUUCAAAUUUUUGAGUUUUUGCUUGGCAUGAUAAUCUGGUACAUGUUGUUGCAUGCUGUCAAUAUUAUGAGUAAAUUUCUUCAAAACGAAUCGAUAAAUAUUGAUCAUACUAUCGACCUCUUGCAAGGACUUGUUUCAUUUCUUGAGGAAUAUAGAGAAAUUGGAUUUGCUAUUACAAAGGAUGAAGCGACAAAAAAGACAAGCGAAAUGGAAAUUGAAGCUGUAUUUAUAGGAAAACACAUAAUUUGAAGAAAAAAUUUGAUGAAAGUUGUAGUGAUGAGGUAAAGCAAUCAGCAGACGAAUCUUUUAGAGUUGAGUACUUUGUUUUUAUAAUUGAUCAAGCUCUAUCUUCUCUGAGAACCCGAUUUGAAUAAUUCAAAUAAUAUGAUGACACAUUUAGAUUUUUGUUUAAUUUGAAGAGGUUAAGGGAUGUAACAUUUUUAAAUUUGUUGAACUCUUGUAUGAAUCUUGAGAAAUAUCUUCAACAUGAUGGGCGUUUGGACAUCACUGGGGAUGAUUUAUGUUCGGAGUUACAAAUUUUGAGGUGUUAUAUACCUAGUGAAGCAACAAGAGCAAUUGAAAUGCUACAAUAUUUGAAGACAUUGAAUGUUUGUUUUCCAAAUGCUUAUAUUGCUUACAAAAUUUUGUUAAUCAUACCGGUUACAGUUGCAUUUGUGGAAAGAAAUUUCUCGAAAUUGAAGUUGAUCAAAACCUAUCUCCGAUCAACUAUGUCGGAGAGAUUAAACGGGUUGGUCAUGUUAUCAAUAGAGAAAGAAAUGGUUGAGCAGCUAAAUUAUUCAGAUUUGAUUGAUGUUUUUGCCUCUAAAACAAUAAGACGAAUAGUACUUAACUAAUUAUUUCAAACAUUGUUGGUUUUGGUAGUUGAUAAUAUAAAUAUUUUUUAUGAUAUAUUUGGUAGUUGUUUUAAUGUUAGUUUUUCAAGUUAGUAAUGAGUUGCAUAAUACAUUGUUGAAGUUUGCAUUUAUGUUGAUUUCGUCAGGGGGUCUAAUUUCCAGACUUCGCCUCAAGUCCUGAGAAUCAUAGGACCGGCUUUGGUUAGCUCCUCACAAUGGCUCUUUAGGCUUAUCCUUUUGAGGCUUAAGCCUCAUGUGAGGUGGGAUUGAGGGCAAAGAUUUAAAAAGCACUUUUUUUCUUUUUUCUUUUUUUGUAAAAAGAAUGGGCAGUGAAGUUUCAUGGUUGUUGUCAUCCCUGUUAGCAGUUUCGUGGAAACAAUUUUACAAUUGGGCCACUACGAAAUUUUCGUGUAAUAGAUAAUUUUAUUUUUUCAUGGUUUUGAUUAAGAUACUUGUUAGUAAUUUUUCCACCGCUUCAAAAAAAAUAUAACUUAUUGGUGGGUAUUAACAUAGGAAAUGCAUUUAAUAUUUUGUUGUAAUGUGAAUUGAGUAAAUUGAGACGAAGAUAGGUUAAGGUUUUAGAGGUAGGGAUGUCAAUGGGUCGAGUCGGCUCGGCCCGUGAACGCACGAGCUCGGCUUGCGCUCGUGGCUAGUCGAGCUCGCCCAUUUUUUAUUUUUUAAACUUUUAUUAAUAAAAACACUUUUAAAAAAAAUAAAAAAUGUUAAAAAAUGCAAAUAAUAUUUUAAAAAAAUCUGUGUAUAGUAAUAUUGUAAAAAAAAAAAAGUGUUAAAAAAAAAAUUCUAAAUGUGUUAAAUUUUUUAUAUUUAUGUAAAAAAUGCAUUAAAAAAUAUUAUUUCAUUUAUUUGCGUUUAACACUUUAAAAAAAACAUGCAUUAAAAAGUCUUAUGUUUUAAAAAAUAAAAAGUGUUAUUUAAUGCAUUAAAAAUAUUAUUUAACACUUAAAAAAACACGAAUGACACUUUUUAUUUUUUAACACAAAAUUUUCAAAAAAACACAAAUAAUUUAACAUUUUUUAAAUGAAGACACUUUUUAUUUCUACCAUAUAGUAAUAUUUUCUAUAAAGUGUUAAAUAAAUACUUAUAUAAUGAAGUCAUGAAGACGAAUUUUUUUUGAAAUACAUUAAAAAAAUACCAUUUUUCAAUUUAUUUUUAAAGUAGAUAAAAUGUAAACCCUCCUCCUUUAUCCAGAGUUAGGGUCAGCUAUAUCAAUUUUAAGUAGAUGGAAUUAAAAAUUGUACACGAAUAACUUGUUGUAACGUAUACAAUUUUUUAAAGAAUAUAAAAUUUAACGAUUUAAAAAUAAGAAAUUUUGAUUAAUAUAAUUAAAUUAAAUAUCACUUAUCUGACGAUAUGCAAUUUCAGCAUAUUUAUCCUGUAUUUGAAAAUGAGCGUCCUGCCAAUUCGUCAAGCACAUUAAAGCUUCCAAAAUAUCUUCUUUCAGUCGACUUCUAACAUUGGUCAAAACCUUUCACUAAAAGCAGAUUCCGAAACAAUAGUGUUAACCAGAGGUGUCAGCAUAUCUUUCGCAAUUGCAGAAACAAUUGGCCAACGUCUUUAUAUUUUCGCCAGAAUUCAAUUACUUCUUCUGAACUUUUUUUAAUUGUUUUGUCUAUUGGCAUAUUAUGAUUGAAGUAAUCAAUUAAUUCGGCAGGUAUCGACAUAACAUUUUGAGAUGCAGAUAUAGAAAACAUGGCACUAGAUGAAUACAUUGCAGUUGUAUCAUAUCUAAAUGUAUUAACGCCUUGAAAUGAAUUCAUUAUUCUGGCAUCAUCUUUUCCAAUUUCAGCCAAAUCAGAAUGAGAAGUUAUAGAGGGUACCCGACUAACAUUUGUACCCAUUCGUUUCACAUAUAAAUCAUACAUUCCAGAUAAUGUUUGCUCUAAAUUUUUAUAGGUGAUAGUUGUAUCAAGUAUUAAGACUUUAUUGAUUUGAUCAAUUAUGUAUUUAGUUCCCGAUAUAUUAUAUUGGAGAUCCAUUGUGCAUGCUCAAGGAAAUAGCAGAGGCAGUUCAAUUAAAGUAUGAUUGUUCUUAUUUAAGGCACUAUGAUGACCUCAAUUCAAAAUACCAAUUCCACUACCAAACUUAGAGAUUAACCGUUGAUACUCAGAUAUUUAUCAAUAUGGAAUCUCCCCAGUGAGUUUCCAAUGUUUUAUUAUAUAACAAAAUAUCCACGUGUUCAUUUAAGUGUCAUUACACUUUAACUUGUGAGAUCAGCUACUUAAUUCAAAAGUAAAAAAUGUCAUAUGUGAUGAUCUAUUCGUACUAAUAAUAUUCGUAUCUCGUUAUUACAUACGACCUUAGAUGAUUUAAGAUUGAAUUAUAUAUAAUUAGUAUCUCACAAUUAUAACACUUUGUGAUUAACAAAUUACUAGGAUUUGAAUCUAAAGACUCUAUUAUUUAAUUUAAUUGAAUAUUAAUUAAAUAAUAGAUCUGCUAUAAGAUUGCAUCAAUUAUAUACUAGAAUUGCUUAUGUUUAAAAUUGAUUGAAUAUAGGGCAUAACACUUACAAGGAAGUCUUAUGUCCUGAGGUAAAGUGGAGAAAACAGUAAAAUAUGUCAAGGAUGGAAAAUUGCAUCGAGAAAAGUCGAGGACGACUAAAACAUGGAUUAAAAAAGGGGGAAAAACCCAAACUUGAACCUUAUUCAUUGUUUAUUUUUUUCUUAAUUUGUUCUUUCAUUUUUUUUAGAACAUGGAUUAAAAAGGGAAAAAAAUCGAAUUUGAACCUUAUUUAAUGUUAAUUUAUUAUAUUCUGUAUAUUGAUCCGAAAAUUUUUGACGUCAUAUCACAUGUAAAAAUAUCUUAAUAAAAUGAUGUAAAUUCACGCAAAAAUAAUAAAAAUUAAUGAAAUAAUUGAAAAAUAUUAAAGAAAAAAAAGUUAUGCGUCUCUUUUGAAAAGCUCGUUAAAUUAUUUUCAACGUUCAAACGAUUUUUAUUUGGAUCAAAUUAUUUUCAACGUUCAAACGAUUUUUAUUUGGAUCAUUCAAUAUAUCUACCAUAUAAUUCUCGAAAUGAGUUUCAAUAUGACAUAAACGAUUUAUGAAUUCAAUUAGCAUACGAUUGUAAGCAAAUAUUUAUAGUUAGCAUGUAUCUAAAUCUUCAUAGUACUAGUUUGUAAUAGCUUAUUUGACACGUCAUAUCUUUUGCUACGAUUGACCGUUUCGCACGCUGUUAACAAUGUGAGGAACUAGGUCGUGAGCAUUAUGAAAUGGUAUUAAGAAUGCAAUAUUUCGAUUUUGUUUGACAUUCCAUAAUGACCUCGAAAAUUGAGACAAAAAUAACGAUGCUGGUGUUGGGUGGGUAAAAAGGAGAUGCGUGGAUAAAAAGUUUAAAGGGUGGGGUGGCUGCAAGGGAGAAAACAAAAGUUAAAAGACAAACAAAACCCUACUAUAUGGCACAUUGUUCUCCCGCCAACCAUGGGCAGGAGAACAAUCCUGUUAAUAUCUAGUGGAGCCAAUUUCAAAAAGUGAGAGCGUGAUUGAUAGAAAAGAAAGUUCUUAUUUAUAAGGUGAGGCCUAAAAAUGUGAGCACCAAAAUCUGCCCAAGUGUUAAAAUUUCCCAAAAUGGCUCAAUGUGAAAAUUGUUACGAAUUAAAUUAUACGAAAAUUUUGAUUCCCUUUGAUUGUACAAGAAUAUGUAAAGCUAAGCAUGUCUAAAAGCACGAGACAUCAUUCUUUUAAUGAUAUUAUUACCACUGUUCGAUAAUUUAAUUUAAGUGCUCGAUUAAUUUUUUUUUUUCUAAAUUUAUGUAUGACCUAUUAGACUCCAUCUAACAUGGUAUUGAUGUGAAAGUAGAUUAAACUGAAAGAAUUAAUGAUUUUAGCGAAGUAAAUAGAUAUCAUAUAUUUUCUAAAACGUGCCAAAAAUAACAAACUUUUGCAACUACAAAUCUUGUAUGGGGAUCAUUGAUUUAGGAAGUCUUGUGUCCUGAGGUUUGGUGCGGAAAAACAGUAAAAUAUGUCUGUACCACGGUAAGGGCAAUGACGGAAAUUACACCUAAAAAAGCCAAGAAAGCCCAAGGACUGCUAAAAUGAUUGUGUAUCCAUUCAGCCAUCCAGACUUGUGCAUUACUGUCGCAAUGGUUUUGAAUCUGACUCUUAACAUCUGCAUAUGCAAAUCGAUCAAAUACCAAAUCAUUAGCUAUCUCGUUAAAGAGUUGCGCCAAUUCUUCAUCACUGCCUAAAUUGUUGACAAGAAUUCUUCUUUUCCGGAGCUCUUUAACAUCAUCGGCAUGAUCGAUGAAUGAAUCCAUUAGGCAAAUGUACGACAUAAUGUGAUAAUCAGAAAGGCUAUGGGGACACAUUUCAUAAGCCGCCAAGUUUAACAGCAAAUCUUUUGUUGAAUCAUCAACCACGAUUUGAGGAAGUGUAAGAGUACUAGAAAUAAGGUGAGAUUUGAACUUCACAUCAGUAACAUGGUUAGUUCGACUUGAUCUGAAAUGAAUUCCUGCUGAUAUGAGCUCUGUUACUGAACGAUACGAAUAAAAUUUGGCAAAUUUCUCAUUGUUUUUGUCUUCAGGAAAUAACGGUUCCCGAUCUGGUUGUGGAAGGCGUUCGCCAGAUUUCUUCUUGAUUUUGUCUUCAGGAGAUGACCCAAUGAGCUGCUUCCGAAAUAGAUGUAGAAGGUGGGGUGCAUCCAUAUCUAAUUUCCGUUUCUCCUUUUUCUGAACACUGCAUCCCAUCAUUUGUGGAAUAAAUUUUUUGACAGCAUUAUCGCAUGAAUUCUCCUGAGGUGGCAUAAUGGCUUCAUGAUCAAGGAAAUUCUGAAUCAACUCUGUCUCCCAGUCUGGUCUUUCACUUUUGAACAAUAAUUUCAUCAAAACUUUUAGCGCUAGUAGAGGAAUUUGAUUCUCUAGCAACAGCAAGUCCCUCCGCACAAAACCCAGGUAGCAAAUCCAGCCAUGUAGUGGAUCUGCUUCUUUCUGUUUUACAUUCGUACGUUUAGUUUUAAGAAAGACGUAUAUAAUAAAAUAAAGUACGAAGCAAGCAUCAAGAAACAUCAUUUUGUUGAACGAUUCAUUGUCAAACUCUUCAGUCGAGACUUUCUCAUAGCAUUCGCGGGCACUUUUACCCAUUUUUGCCACCUCUUCAUGUAAUUGUUCGAUGGAUACUUCAAAGGCAUGAACGAAUUUCUGGGCGAUUGGCUUCUUUAGCUUCUCAAAUGCUUCGAGCUGUGGCUUCUUUCCAUGAUGAUAAGGGCCUAUCGAAACUAGGAGAGGAUCAUAACAAUUUUUGUUGGAUUGUUUCUCACGCAGCAACGAUGGAAUCCUUUGUAUUUGGGUUUGUCUGUUGUGUUCUCUAUAGUAAUCAACCAAUCAUCCUCGGUAGCAUUGUUGCUUUGUGCUUCUCUACAUUCCUGUAAUAAUUUUGAACAAAUUCGAACGAGUUCAUCACAUUCCGGGCCUUCUGAGGGUUCAUCACAUUCAGAAAACAUUUCGUCUCUGAGUGGGGACGGAUCUAUGUAAGAACUUGAAGAUAGAGUAAUUAGUUCGAUGGGUCCAUCUGUUGUCAUCCCCUGGAUGUGAGCAUGAAGUUGCUUAGAUAUAAUUAUUAGCAGCUUGUUUGAUAAAAUAUCAACUUUUCAAUUUGACAAAUUUCAAUUUUAAAAAUAUAUUCACGAGACUCACAAUUUUAUGCCCGGAGGGUUCAUCACGUUCAGAGACGAUGGGUCGGGGCGGAUCUAUGUAACUUGCGGAAUAUGGAGGAUAUGGAGGAAGAUCAGGAAUUUGUAAGCUAGGUCCAUCUGUUGUCAUCCCCUGGAUGUGAGCAUGAAGUUGCUUAGAUAUAAUUAUUAGCAGCUUGUUUGAUAAAAUAUCAACUUUUCAAUUUGCAAAUUUCAAUUUUAAAAAUAUAUUCACGAGACUCACAAUUUUUAUAUUUUCAAUCAUACAUUUUAUAAUGACCUAGGCUUAGAAAUGCGAGUUUUUUUAUAAUCACCUAACAUCUUUGUUUAAACCAUUACAUUAUAUGUACUAUCUAUUUUGGGAGAUCAUCAAUCUACUCUUUUAUUCAUCAUGAAUUUUCAUCUUGGCUCCUAAGACUCGAAUCUAACAUCUCUUUCUUAUGAGAUAUUUAAGUUGAAUCCUAACAUCAAUUUUUAACAAUCUGGGUGGAUUUUUUUCACAUCUCCAAGACCUCAAGAUUAAGUCUCUCAAAAGGUAGAGUUUUUUGAGUUAAAAUCUUAGGUACAUGAUAGAAGGUGAAAGCUGUUUGGGGUCAAAAGAUAGAUGCUUUCUCAAAGUGGAUGAUACAUAACGAGUUAACGGUUUGAACAUAGAAAUCUGAAAUUUCUUGAAGCUAGAAAAUUCAAGAAUUUAACGUACUGCUCUUUUCUCCGGAUGCUUGUUCAUUUGCAAGUAAUUGAGCACACAAACUCCUGAAAUCAAAAAUUACAUUUCUUUUAAGGCUGACAAAGACAAAACAAAAAAAUACAUUUAAGUUAGAAUAAUAGAUUUUAUUUGACAUUAUUCUUGUCUAAUUAAAUAAAUUUACAUAAAGAUAAAAAUAUAAUAUAGAUUUUUUUAAUAAAUAUAUAAAAAUAGUAUAUGAAAAUAGCGGCUUUCUAUGAAAUUCAGCAAAUAAAAGUCAUCGUAAUCCAGAUGUAAACAAAACACAUUUUGCAAAAUAACAACCAAAAAAUUGAAAUAAUAUAAUAAUUAAAGACCAAGUCAACAAAUUGUACCAACUAGCAAAGUCUAGUUUCUCUCUCUCGUUCGUCAAACUAUUGCUGAAUACGUUAAGAGGAAUGGAAUGAAUCACUUCUUGGGUAAGCAAACACAAUAUUUAUUAAUAGGCUGCCGGUAUCCAAGCCCAUAAGGUUCGGUGUGUGACCGAACCUUUUGCACGAAAGUUUACCCGAACUUUAUGCAGGGAAGUUUACCCGAACCUGCCGUCUGAUUGACCACCUAAAGCCCCAAAUUAAGAAUUGUUUGGGAGCUCACACACUCAACUUAGGUACUUCGUAGUUCAUACAUCACUUAAAUGAGUGAUUGAGUUUUUAAUUUAUUUUAAAAUGGCUUUGUGGUUCAGAUAACCUCAAAUGUGCUUGUUAAAAAGUGAAAUUUAAAUUUAAAUUCUCAAUCUUUAAAUUCUUUUUAACUCAUAGUAAUCAUACAACAAUCUGUAUAAUAGAAAAAUAUAUAUUGAAUAUAACAAGUAAUAAUUUAUUUUAUUGUAAAUAUUAUGUAUUUUUUCCAAUAAUCUUAAAACACAUGUAUUUCCAAUAGAUUCCACCUCCUCUCCCAAACAAGCCCUAACGCUUCCUCAAAUCAAUCAUUGUACAUUAAGUCAUUACGUUGUGAUUGUUGUGCAAUAGUUGUUACUGUGUAUAAUAGCGGGGAAAGGAGAAGCACAAAUGAGCUUGAUUAAAAAAAAAUAAAAUAGUUCGAGUCGACUCUACUCCGAGUUCGUUUGUAUGGACCAAAACUCGAGCCAAGCCUCAAAAACAAAAUUUGGUUUGAGCCUGGACCAGCUCACAAACCUCACGAGCCAAAAUACGAGCUAGCUCGGGAAGGUUGUUUUAUUUGCCUGCAAAUAACUAGUAAAUACUAGCAAUUAAGAAUCAAGGGAUGCGUAAAGGUCCUGUACGCUACUAGGGGAACUAGAUGUCCCGUUAGCAAUGACUGAAUAAUCCAGCAAUUAAUUAAGGGCCAUGCUAGAUGGACAGAGGCAUGCGUCGGGACAGGCGCCUUGCCUUUAGGGGGUGCCAAUACACCAAUUAAUUAGCCUGAAAAGAUAGUUUAGUUUCAUGUGUACCUAGAAAGUGGUACACGUGUAAAGAUUUUGAUGACAAAUGAACUUGCAAUGCGGUCACCAAUAUUCGUCAUCCUAACUACUGGUGGGCCAUUACGUACAUUAUCUUUCAUAUUGAAGAAUUUAUGCAAAUAAAGUAGAAUUUUGACGGAGAAUUGUUGAAUAUAUGAGAUAACAAUAAUCAUAUUAGAUAUGGAACUUGACAAGAAAUUUGAAAAACUUUAUUUUUAUAUCCAAUUCUCCCUUGAAAAAUAACCUAUGAUUAUUAAAUGCAACAAAAGAUUAGAUAAGAUGUAAUAAUGAUUAGUUGUAAAAUGUGUCUAUUUUAACAAUUAGAGAUAACUAGAAAAAAUAUAUAAGGUAGAGAUAAAUGUAACAAACAGGAACAAUAUUUAAGAAAAAUCCCUUAGGUGAGGUGGAGUGGGGGUACCUUUUGAUUGAUCGAGGAUAAGCAGAAAACUUAUGUUUGAGUAAUAAGUUAAACGAUGCUUCUUUAUUGAAAUGACAUAUGAAACAUUUUCUUGUAUUUAUACUUGUCAUAGAAAGAGAAUACCUUAGACAAACUUAAUUUUGUAGAAUCACUUUAGAAAACUUCCUACUUAAUUUUCAGCAGGUUAUAAGCAAUGAAUAAUAGCAUUAUGCUGUUCUUUUAAUUUUUUUCCUUCCCCCCCCCCCCCCCCCCCCCCCUUCUCUUCUCCAUUUUAAGUGCGUAAAUGAAUAGUAAAAUUGUAUAUAUUUAACUAAGAUAAAUUGAGAAGUCAAGCGAGAUUACAAGCUUCGAGCAAUACUUUUAGAGUUUGUUUGAGAUAUUAUUUUUGAAAAUCCUUAUUUUCCAAUUGUAUUUUCAAUCACAUAUUUUAUGGGACUUAUAAUUUGAAUUUUCUUAUAAAAAUUAUUUUUACUUGAAAAAAAUUUCUACUAAACAAGUUUUUAAUUUGACCCCCAGCAAACAAAACAUAAACUACAAAUAGUAUGAUAUGUACGAAUUUAAGAUACAUUAAUUUGGUAACUUGCUAAAUAGAUUUCAGGAAAAAAAUUACAACAUAUGGAAAAUUGUCCAAGGGGCUAAACCUUGAGUUUGAAUGAGCAAAAUAGUUCCGUUACAUAUAUUGUCUAAAAGAAUUAUAGAAUUGAUUUCGAAAGAGCUUAGUACAAUAUUAAAACUUCGACUUGAAAAAGCAAAAAUAUUGAGGUGUAAGUCACAAGCAUAUUCUUAUUCCAAAAGAUCUCUCCUUAGAAAUUUAUUUUAAUUUCACUAUUUAAAAAUUUGAUUAUAAAUAUUGUGUCAUUAUAAUUGACGUCAUAUUAUAGACUCUUUUACAUGUUUGGAAAGGUAGACAAUAUAAUAUUAAAACAAAAUUAAAGAAAAAAGGAAGUUGAAAUCUUGACUAUUAUCAAAUGCAGUCGAGUCUAAUAGUGCAUAAUACAUAUUAUUUAUAUGAAAAAUGUUAUGGUCUCCUUUGUUAAUCUCUUUUUGUUACUAAAGAGUGAAGAACGAAUAGACCAAGCAAUAUAUGUAAGAGUAUGCCAAUCCCAGUGUUGUAUAUAACACAAAAGGAAAUAUUUUAAACAACUUUAAAAAAGCUUAGAAUUGUGCUAGGAACAAUCUUUUCAAUAUCACAAGUUUAGAAUAUUAACCCGCUAAACACGAGGAAUUAUAAAACCCAAUAGACUCACCAUGCAAAUCUUAAGAAACAAAUUAUUUAUUUAUUUAGUUCUUAUUUGAUUUAGAUAAAAUAAUUUUUUAGCAGAUUUUGAUAAAAUUAAAGUUGAUGGAGUGUGAUUGAAAAGUUAUGAGUCCCAUAAAAUAUAUGCUUAAAAUAAAUUCUUGAUUUUCACUUAGAUGUUAAUCAACUUUUUUAGAUAAACCAAAUAAAAGAUUGUUUUUGAUGUUAUGAUUUCUCCUUUGUAUUUUGUCAAAAUUUUAAAAUUAAGAGUAAAAAUAGGAAUAUUUCCUCUAUAUUAUAGGAGGAGGAUAAAAGAAAAUUUGAGAUCUAUAAGAAUGCAAUUUUCAUUUAUCGAUUGCAUGGAGGUUAUUAUCAACUAUACGUUCAUAACAUAUUUAAUAAUAUUAUAUAUUAUUAAAAAAGGAAAAAAAUAUAAUAUUAUGUAUUGUAUAAUUUUAUUCAUAUUGCAUACCAAACACGUCAUUAGUGAUGAAAUUCAACAAAAUGAUGAAUAAAGUGGUUGGAUCUUCCUUCAACUUGUCAAAAAAAAUUAGUUAACAAAAUAAUAUAUUGAACUUGAAACGUAAUGUGUAACAAAUUAAAUUGAGGCAUGGUUAUCUUUCUUUCCUUAGGGAGAUUCAGGAUUAAGUUGACUAGACUUAUAUGAGUGCAUAUAAUAAUGUCUUUCCAUAUAUAAGUGUAAUUUUUUGCGCCAAUUGUGCGACGUUGUUAAGAAAGAAAAAUGAGUUUAUGUUUUGAGAGAUUUACAUGUUUGACAAUAAAAACCAGACUAUAUCUUUAUUCACCUCUUUACAUGGUACUUAUAAGUCAGAACGAGGAGAUCAAACAACUCAUACAUAUAAUGUUAUUUUCACUUGUAAAUCCUAGAAUUUUGUAUGUAUCACAAAAGCAAUUAUUUUGAGCAACUUUACGCACAUAACAAGUUAAAGAGUUGUAGCAUUAUAUGAGCCCACUUUGUACUAUAUGUCUCUGAAAUAUCACAAGUUAAGAAUACCAACAUCCUAAACACGAGGAAUACUCAAUCAAACUUUAUAGCAUAACCAAGUUUUUAGUUAUCGCCACUUAUUUAUUAUAUCUUCAAAAUUUUAUAAUUUCUCCUAAUUAAAUAUAGGAAUAUUGUUGUAAGCAUAGAAGAACGAUAAUAGAAAUUCUAGAUUUAUAAGAUUACAAUUUUAGUUUAUCAAGUGCGUGGAUGUUAUAUCAAUGACCCACGAACAUUUUGACAUGUUUAGAAAUGUGAAUUUAAUAGUAAUAUUCUAACAAGCAUUAUGCUUGUUUCGUGCUUUGUCAACUCCUCUUCGAUAUCCCAUCCUAAUCCAAUCCAAUUUGGCUAGGAGAAUAGGAUCUGAUCAACUUCAUAACAAGUUUUCGAACAAGGUUGAAGAGAAUUUGCUCUACAAUGUUAAGAUACAAUUUAGACAUUGCUAAUUCACAAAAGGAUUCAUGAGGGUUGGAGUCUUGUUUUCAAGAAUUUCUGAGCAGACACAUGAAAAGAAUCCACUGUUCCGUUCGGCUCAUUCCUAUAACAACAUGAAAUCCAACUUAACUAAACCAUUAACACCCUUUAAAUCAAAAUAUAAAAUAUAAUAAGGGUAUGAAGUCUGUCAAGUUUCUAAAGGAAUUUUGUCAUUGAACAAAGGGUAUGUAAUCAGUCAAAUUCAAAUCGUUCUCCCGAUAACACUUAACUGACCCACGACUUAUUACUAAGAAAAGGAAGAGUCACCUUUCAACAAAAGAAUACUUGUAUUUGAAACAGGCAAAUUAAACUCAAUUAUUAUUCUAAACAACACUUGACUGAUAGGGUUUUCAUUCCACUCAGAUGGUUCAUAAUAAAAAUGGUAAACUCAUAUGUUAGUGGUAUUCUUGUCUUCUAGGCUAUUUCUCUAUCUUAAAAAUCAAUAUUUAUUUAUCAACUCAACUCGAGACAUGAGAAAUCAAAAGAUCACUUAAGUAAAGUUGAUAGCCUUGGGAAUAGUGUUUUUUGAAUUGACAACUGAUAGAAAGUCAAAUUAUUUCUCCUUCGAUAGAAAUAAAGAUAUUGUAAUGCAAGUAAAAAAAUAUUGUACAAGAUACAAGAAUACUCUCUAUUGAGGUUAAAAACUGGUACCAACUCAAGACAUUCCCUUCAAAUGAUAGACUAUAUAAAUAUGCUUUCGUUCAUAUACGUAUGAAUAAAUGCUAAUAUUACCCAAAUUAUCUUCAUAUUGAAAAGUAGCACUGAAAAGUCAAAAAAUCCAAGAAGUACUAAAAUUGUUAUUUUGUCACUUGUGUAAAUAUAUAUUAUAUUGGGCUACGCCUUCUCUUAGAGAACUUUAUUGGGCCUCAUAAUCUUAGACUGGCCCAACCCAGCAACCGAUAGCCCCCUCCCUCUUUCUCUCUCGUCUCUCUAAAUUCCAUUUUUGUAAAAGGGAAAAUUGCAUAAGGGAAAAUUAGACUAGCCCAACCCACCAAACGAUAGCCCUCUCCCUCUUUCUCUCUCAUCUCUCUAAAUUCCAUUUUUGUAAAAGAAAAAAUUGCAUAAGUAAGAAAACAAGAAUGACAUAUUUCAAAAUUAAGAAAACAAGUUUCAAACUUCAAAAAUUAUAUUUUUAUUAAAAUUUAUUUAUGAUUUAAUUAUUUAAUUAAUUAAAUAUAUUUAGAUCACAGAUCUAUACAAUUUGAGCAAGAAUUAACAAUUUAAUUACUAAAUUAUUAUUUUUUGAUCACAAAUUAAAAAUUUUAUGCCACAAAUUAUUUUACGAUCACAAUUUAAAAAUUUUGCAGGUCACAAUUUGUUCAUAGAUCACAAAUCAAAAAAUUAAUUAGUCACGGAAUAACUUUUAGUCACAACCUAUCAAUUUAAUGGUCACAACUUUUUUUUCGAUCACAAAUCAAAAAUUUUAUAGGUCACAUAUUAUUUUUCGAUUACGAGUAAAAAUUUUUAUAGGUCACAAAUUAUUCAUUGGUCUCAUAAUCAAAACUUUUAUUGGUCACAACUCAUAUAUUCAUUGCGAAUUUUAGAUUAAUUGGUCACGAUUAAUAUUUCGUUCACAACUUAAUCAAUUGUAAGUCAUGGUCACAAUUUUUAGGUCACAUAAUAUAAAUUUAGUCACGGAGAUUCAGCCAUGUAUUAUUUACCGAUCAUAACAUAAGUGGUCACAAACACUCUUUUCCACCCACAACAUAUUUUCCAAAAAAUUACUAUUUCAUAAUGCAUUUUAUUCCAAAAAUGGAAAUUAAAUGGGGGCUUAGUUUUGAAAUAUGUUAAGGUCAUGAAAAUGCGCAAGUUUUAAAAUGAUAUUUGCAUUGUUAUUAAUGCCUUUAUAUGUUCCAUGGUGGAAAAGUUAAGUUGCAUUUGCUAUAUGGUCAAAUGUUAUAAAUAAGAAAUUUUUCUUUUCAUGCGAAGGGUAGUGUCUAAUUUAAAUAAGCUUAACAGGAUGCCGAGACAUCUUAUAAGUAAGCUUCGAGACAAAUUAAAAAAAAAAAUCCAAAUAAUAUAAAAUAUGAAAUAUGCUCAUAAUAACCCAUAAACUAUAUUAAAAAUAUUAACAAUAAAAUAAAUUAAAAAAAAAUAAAAAGUCUAACUUGCAACAAAUAAGAACUAGAUCGGUAAAAUAGUAAAUAAGUCUCACAUGAGGCAUAAGCCUUAAUAAAUUGAGGUUUGCGCCCCACAAUGGCUCUUAAGGCUUACCCUUUUGAGGCGUUUUAUUUAAGCCUCAUGUGAGGGCAAAGCUUUAAAAAACUUCCUUUUCUUUUUUUCUUUUGAAAAGAAAAUGGGCAGUGAAGCUUCAUGGUUGUUGUCAUCCCUAUUAGCAGUUUGGUGGAAACAAUUUUACAGUUGGGCCACUAUGAAAUUUUCGUGGAAUCGAUAAUUUCUUUUUUCAUGGUUUUGAUUCAGAUAUGUAUUAGUGAUUUUCCCACCGCUUCAAAAAAUAUAAUUUACAGGUGGGUAUAAAUAUGGGGAAUGUGUGAAUUGCGUAAAUUGGGACGGAGAUAGGUUAAGGUUUCGCAGGUAUGAUAUCGUUUCUGGUUUAUAUCAUUUAAAACUAAUUAACAUAUAAUUAAAGUAAAAAUAUAUAAAUUAAAUCAAAAAAUGGGCAAUAAUCCUAAAAAGGAAAUGCAGUAAAUGGAUGGAUUCCCUUGUUUCUCAAGGGCAACAUUAAUGGCUUGGCAAAGAGCUAUUAGAAACCCAAAAAUAAGUAGCUCACAUAGAAAAGGAUGAUUUUAUACCAACAAAUAUAAAAAUAAAAACAAGAUAUACAAAACAAAAUUGCGAACCGAAACUGGUUAAACGACAUUAUAUGCUCGUCUAGUAUUAAUGUUAGUCACAAUAAGAGAGUCAAUAUUUCCAUUUAACACAGCAUUUACAUCAGGAAAUUGGGUAUCGGUUUUCGCAUCUUCUACCAUCUUGGUGGGUCGAAACACAUACCUUCAUGCCUCGGGACUCCGCAUAUCAACAAGCUCAUCUUUCUUUAUGUUACUCACACCAGAUGUACGUUGAUCCCUUAAAAUAAUGAGAAGUUUAGCCUUCAAGUGGUUAAAGGCCUUAAUCUUGUCCGCAGCAUGACACAUUCACCUGUAAAGAGAACAGUCUUUUUCGUUGGCCUUUCUUUCUCUUGCUCAUCUUCUCUUAUUGAUUGUAGAACAUUUUGAAAAUGUGGAAUAUAAAAAUGCACAUUUUAAACAAAAACUUGUAAGGUAGAGCAAGGUGCCUUGUACUUCUUUUCAUCUCCUUUUGACAUUUUCUGUUUUAGAACAAAUAGGCAAAUGCAAUAGCUCAUGAGCUCGGGUUGUGUACUAUUUUGGUAAGGAAAUACAUACUCCCGAAGUUCAGUGAACAACAACCAUGACAAGGAAGCCUUUUAUUUAUGACAGCAGCAAAAGCUGCAAGAUGAUUUCUUAAAAGUAAAAAAUAUGAAAUUUCUAAAGGUACAAAUAUCGUAAUUCGUUUACUUACUCAUUUUUUUCAUUAUCCUCGAGGCACUUAAUAAUUGCCAUCACAAGUCAGAAAUUCUGGGUAUGUUUGUGAAACAAUGUGUAUAUUUGGUAGCGUUGCUGUCUGUGUGGAGUUCAAAUGUGUAUAUUUAUCAAAGAAAUUGAGCCAAGUACAUGCAUCAGAACUAUAUUACUACAAAAGCAAGAAAAAUAACGAUAUGAACUUAACAGAAGCUCUAACUAUCCCAAGCCAAAUUCUCACCUGUUGAUUGGACUUCCACACCAGUUAAAAUAUGCUGAAUGGAAACUGAUGAAGAAAUCUCGCCUAACUUCUUGGAAGAUGAUGGGCAGGAGACUAGUAGAUCCUUCUCAUCAAUUAAUAGUCUGAGUGAUGAUUCAAGGAACAAAGGAAUCACAUCCAUAGCCGCAAAGCUAGCUUACAGCAUAUUAGCAAUAGUGAUGCAGCAAUAGUAUAUAAUAUGGGCCUUCAUAUCAAGAGUUUAAGGGUCAAUUAAAAUUAGAUAUUAGAUGUAAAAAUGAAAUUUCUUUCUCAAAAUUUCCAAAUUAUGCUAUAAACAAGGAAUUGAAACUCUAGUACCAAGAAAAUGAAGAAUUAGGGUUCUAUAUGUUAUAUUAUGUGAAUAUAGAAUGGGAUGUUAAAGGACCACUGCUUAUUCAAUAGCCAAUUCUAAAACUGAACAAGAUAUUUGAAGAUGCUGGGUAUGGAACUGAGAGCCAAACUCACUAGCCAAAAUGACAAACACUGCAUGCAUGUGUUUGGCUUAGCCUAAAAACUUCACUGAAAAGUAAAUAAGUAGGUUAUAAAAUAAAAUUAAAGAUUUUUGUUGGGCAAAGUUGGAAUAAGUUGCGCCUAUUUUGAAAAUAAUACCCGCCUUACUGCCCAAAUAACUUUUUUUUAGUUCUAAGUAAGAAAACUGUAUCGAAUAAGUUUGGAAACAAAACUUUACUUAGAAGUAAACUUGCCAAACAUGCAUAGAUUCUUGUGGUUCUUUUGCCACCAUUCUGACACUUUAGGAACACUAUUAAUUUCUCAAACCAAGAUAUGCCUGGCUAUAACUUGUGGAAACUCCACACACAAAUCAAUAUGCAGUAUGUCAUAGGUUUUUCCUUAUUAUCAAUAUCAAUGUAUUUAUAUGUUGACAAAUCUGGUGAAGAGUGUUCACCUCUAACGUAAUCAUGUAACUUAUUCUUAUCUAAGGUAUUAGUAUACCAAAUUUUUCAUGAAAUUGAAACACCUAAUUGAUUGUUCCCUACAAUAUAUUUAGCCUAUCCUUACCUUUUGAUAACCAUUAUGUCAAAGCCUAUUCCAGGACCCUAUUUUCUAUUAGAAAUUUGCCCAACAUUACAUUAAAAUAAUUUUUAUUUACCAUGAUACUAUGUACAGUAGUGUUCUUCCAUUGCAACCUGUCAAACGUGAUGUGGUCAUGGCCAGAUUCCCUGUUGCUCACGAAAUGAUCCCAGGGAUUGUAAGUCAUUUUUCAUGAGCACUACCAUUUAUCAAUUCUGCCAAAAGAUAUAGUAAUGACCUAAAAAAAUGGCCAAAAAGGAUUCAUGUCCUAUAUUAUCGGGAAUAAGGCUUGGUUUAUUAUUGUUUUAAAUAACAUCUACCAAAUAGAUAAUGCAGAAAUUAUUAAUGAAAGUACGAAAGUGUUCUUUCCUUAGCAAUCAAUUGACAAUAAAAAGUUAAUCACAACUAUGAAAUUUCUGGGUCCUUUGUAAUAGUAACAGAAAUUCAUACCCCCGGAUAAUUAAAUUCACUCUUAUGAGUUCCAAUUAUUCGGUGAACACCCCUUUUCCCUGAUAGAUAGCCAUAAGCAUAUUUGAAUUCGAAUUCAAUUGUUGCUGACUUGAUACCUCCAUUCUUUGUAGGACAUCUCUUAACUAACCUCACUGCAUGACCUUGCUUUUCAGCCCAUUUCAGGCACAUUCAAGUGAGUUAUCCUGCCCAUGUCUAAAUAAAUUUUACAUCAAGAUCUUAAUGGAGAAGACCCUAUUCCAUUUAACAAAUUAAAAUACAGACCUACUGCUUAUGAGAUAAAAGAGCACCUUUUUUCCUAAAAUAUCAAGUAACUCGUAUGCCUUGGUACAUUAAUGAAGGAAAUGGUCCUUGUAAAUACAGACCUACUGCUUAUGAGAUAAAAGCGCACCUUUUUUCCUAAAAUAUCAAGUAACUCGUAUGCCUUGGUACAUUAAUGAAGGAAAUGGUCCUUGUAAAUCUAGAGACGAAGAAGCUGAUUCACGUAGCCAGCUAUACUAAAAGUCUACUAUGGUUUAGAGGUUUGUUUCAAACUUAUUCAUACAAUGAAUAUACGAAUGAUGCAAAAAAUAAAAAAAAUAAUAAAAAAAAUCCAAUGAAAAAGCAAUGAGGUAUGCAGAAUUAGUCACCAAUUUGAAAAAUUGUAACUAUAACUUAGUAGAAACACCAUAACAAUUGAUAAAGACAUAAAGCCAAAUUCGAAAAGAAGAUAAAAGGAACUAUGAUUAGCAAGAAUGAAUCAUAGACAAUCACAUUGACCAUGUAAGAAAGCUCAAAGAAAGGAUUCAACCGAGUCAUUCAUGUAUAUAAUAGAAACUCUCUAGGAAAUGCUCAUGGACAGUCCUAAUCUUGAAACUUGUAGAACCUUCAUUAACUGACUAACAAAUCAAUAAAAGAUUUGGUUUAAAAAAAUAGGUUAUGGCUACAAAGUAAAACUUUAGAGAGUCAAGAUUAGAAGCAGAUUAUAGAAUAAUAAAUAUUUUUUACGAAGUUAAAUCAUCCCUCACUGAUGAGUUAUAAAUGUCAUUCCAUUUAAAAGAGCCAUUUAAAAGAACAGUGUCUCUACAGAAAAGCAUAAAGUCUCAAACCACGAACCUCUAAGUAAAUGUCUCCACAUCUAGAUUCAAUUUUGGGACAUGCUCCCUCCAUGUCAUAUGACUUUUUAAGAAACUUAGACAUCUCAUACUUAUUCAAAAACUUGUUUAAAUCUACAGAUGCAAAAUAUGCCUGCUUGAAAAGCUUGUAAUUUACAGUAUCCAGCUCUGCAAGCUCCUUAAUCAGUUUAGCUUCCUCAGCCUGCAAUAGAUGUUUACAACUUCUCAAAAUAUUGAGCCCCCUUCAUGAGCAUCUUAUAACCUUAAAUAACUUAGUAUAUUACAGACAAAUGAGCAAAUUUACACACACACACAUACACACACUUUCAAGUAUUCUAGUUGGCAAUUGUCUCCAAAUAGACAUACAAAUACUUGCACGAGAAGCACACUACCUUAUAUUUGAGGUGUUUAAGGGCAUCAACCACCUUGGCACUGUCGGCUAGUUUGAUGAGGAUUUCAUUCGACUUCCCCGGGUCAUCCCACAAGUCAUGAUCAUGAAUAAUUUCUUCUUGCUUGACAUGUCUUACUUCUUCAUGGUACAAGGCUAUUGGUGCUAACAUCUCUGCACGGAGAAUUGAAUCUUCUAUCCUUUUUCUUAAAGAAAACAUACCUAUAUAAAACCAAACCAUUACAACCAAUCCAAGUGGCAAGCACUAGACUAUUGUAUGCAUUUAUCAUACAAAUAUUAGGACUGGACAUGGUCUGAUUCAGUUCCCGUUAGAACUUAACAGGACCCGAAAUUUUUGGGUAUUUAGUAAGUAGAAUUGUCGGGUCUAAAUUUAAUUAUGGAACCGUUUGGGUUCGGUUCCAUUCGAUUUGGUUCGGUUUGGUAAACCAGGUUCCGUAUUAUAAUUAAUUUUUUAAUAUUUACAAAACUACAUUAAUUCAAGAAAUAAUACGUUUAAUCUUAACUCUUACAAAAUAAAGCAGUCCAAUUUUAUGUAUCUUUUGUGUCUUUCUUUACUGAGUUCUUUAUAUAUUUCAUUGUUAAAAUCUACCACGCGUUUUAUAUAACGUGAUUUUAUACCGCAAGUGCACGGUGUCAAGUUUUGUAGUAUAUUAAAGAAUUGAAAAGUGUCGAACCCACAAGGAUUGAUAUUCGACUUCCACUGAGUACUAUAAUUGUGUCCGCGUUUACUUUAUCUAGACAAUCGAGUGUUAAAUUAAUGUUUGAAUACUAAACUAACGUCAAUGAAUUAAAUAGUGCAAUAAAAGUGAGGCAAUUUCUAAAGACUAAAUCAAAUUUACGUAAUGUCUAGGGAAUGAUUUCACCGUAUUCUCGACAUAAUUCUCAAUCCCUAUAGAUAUUUCCAUCAACUAUUUCCCAAAUUCAUAGGCAAGAAUCCUAAAUUAAUUCUAUUUCCCCCUCUCGAGCGUCAAAUAGAACCUAUCUCUAUAUUUUGACCCCAAUAUCUCUAUUCCGAAUUAAAUAUAUAAAGAUUAUCACGCACUUGGUUCUUGUUUUACCCUUAAAGAUUCAUACUUUCUCUUGAAACCUACAAACCUAGGUUAUAUUAUUCUUAGAUCACGCAUAAAUUUUCCCUCUCUCGAGCGUCAAAUUUAGAACAUCAAUUCAUUCAAUUGGUGAUCAGGCAACUGAGAGCAUUAAGCAAGAACAAUACAAAUCAAUUCUAGAAAAUUAAAUGGAAACACUAUAAAGAAAUUGAAUCAUGUCUCAAAUAGGUUACAUCAAACCCUAGAUUUAACAACUUAGUUCAUGAUUGAGAAGAAGAACAUGAUAAAAUACAAAUUAAAUUGCAUGAAGAAGAGAAAGAUAAGAAAAAACUCAGGUUGUUGCUCUAUUUCUCAAUCUUGUGGCUUGAUUUCUCAGUUUCUCCCUUCUUUUUCUCCAAAAUCGGGUCAAUCUUCUCUCAAUUGGUGCCUCUCUUUUUCUUGCCUCUUCAGCCGUCUAACCCCCUUCUCUUGUUCUUCAACUGGGUAUUUAUAUUUUCUAAGGGUUCUCAAGGGUUAGGGUAUGAUUUUUGGGCCGAAAAGAUACUUAAAAAUUCGGGUUUUAGCGCCCAAGUCUUUGCUCGCUUUUUCUUCAUUGGGCGCCAUGGCGCCGCGGCGCCCAAGGUUCUGCUCCUUUUUUUUCUUCAUUGGGUGCCAUGGCGCCCAGGUUUCUACUGGAAUUGCCUCUCUUUAGGGCGCCAUGGCGCCAAUGCCACUGCUUUGCUUCUCUUCUCUUUGUUUUUCCAAGCCUAUUUUCCACUCCAAUUUUAUUCAAUACUUGCUUAUUCAUGCUCCAUUUCAUUGAUCAUCAUUUUUGCUCAUCACCGGCUCCCAAUAGUGGUAUUUUCUCGAGAGUUGUCCAAACUGCAAAACAACACUAACACACACAUCAAAACGUUCAAAAAUGCUCAAGAACACAUAAAAAAAACUUGAUUUAGAAGCUUUAGUUUAAUGAGUGAAUUACACUUAUCAAACACCCCCAAACUUAGUUCUUUGCUUGUCCUCGAGCAAACACAAAACUAAAGAUAAUUAUUAACGAGCACAAAAACACGACUAAGACAGACAAAGUCACUCAAAAGAAACUUUAUGUUAGACACCUUGCAUUUAUUACUCAAGAUUAAGAACACAGCGUCAAAUUCAUGAAGUACUUCAAAACUAUAAUACAGACGUCAAAUCCUUGCUCAUUCAAUGCAAACAAGUGUGUGUGUGUGGAAAGUUAAGCAUAACGCUGUACAAUAAUAAAUUGACCCAAUUUUCGACCUUAAAAGUAAAAUAUUUCCUUGCCUCGCUCGUGGGAUUCACACACUUCCAAACUUGUUUUCUUUUCUCUUUCCAAGGUGUAUUCUAAAGUUGAUUUUUUUUUUCAAUGCUAAUUUCUUACAUCACUCAAGUUUGGUUAGAUUUCACUAUUGCAGUUCAACCUAUCAACAGAUUAAAAUUCUCCUUAUUUUUGACUGCUUCAACCUCUAGGAAUCAACUAAGUUACUAACAUCUCAUCAAAGGUUUAAUCCUCUAAAACAAGUGUUUGGGGCUUAAUCAAAGUAUGUGAUAUAUAAUUUUUUUUUUAUACAUGUAUUCUUUAAACACCCCUUGUGUGGACGUCACUCCCUCAAGCUUUCUAAAUGACCCUUGUAAUGAGUUUUAGGCCGAUGACUCCCAAAUCAGACGACUUUAGGGCACCAAGUUUUAAACCCUUACAGGCUUAAUUACUCGAGUCAUAAAGGCUACGAAAAGACGAUUCACAAUGAGAUUAUUAAAGUUGUCCUCAUUGGAUCUUUUUUUAUGCAAUGAUUAGUGCAAUGCCCCUUAUUAAACACCUAUUCUCGAAAAUCGAUCUCUAACUUAAAGUUUUCAUCCAAUUUUCAUCCUAUUAGUCUCAGACAAUCCACACAAAAUUUAGCACACAUGGAAUCCACAUUUAUCUCCAAGUUUUCCUGCAACAGCUUAACCUACCAAACAACCUAUAUUUGGUUUUAGGGUAUUAUAGUGUUUAAAGGUUGUUUGGGUUUAGCAUCUAAGUUCUCUUAUUCAACCUAUAAACAUAGAUCAACAUACUCAUGUACAACGCUACAAUCAACCCACGUGCAAAAAUAAUUUCUGUUUCACACGAAUAAGCAAAAAUCUAACUCAGACAUAUAACUUAUCCAUAAUCCAUGAACCAAUACAUGUUCUUAAUAUUAUACAUCAUUGUCGGCAAGGCUAUCUAACUCACACAAGCAUGCAAAAUACGAAAUGAAAUUUUUUUUAUUUGACAAUGCACACAAAUAAAAAUUAAAUAAAUAAAUAAUAAAAAAAACAAAUAAUUAAAAAAAAACAAACAAAUCAAAAAAUUUGCACCCAAAUCAGACAGAACCAAAAUUUUUGGCAAUUAGACAACUUAUAAUACACUUCCCCCAAACUUAAACUAAGCAUUGUCCCCAAUGUUAAAUUAAAAGAAAAAGAGGAGGACUUCUCUGAAUUGUCUGAAUUGCCAACGAUGAUUUGGUGCACUAAUGUUGAAUUUGAUGGACGUUUCUUCUAGCUUUUCCCUCAAACUUGAGAUUUAUCCAGCUUCUCCUUUUUCAAUGUUGUUUGAUUGAUCUGCGAUGUCAUGUUCCUAAAAAAUCACAAUGUAGAUAUUAAACUCAUGGAACAAGUGGUACUUAGCUCAAACAUCGAUAACCAACUUGAUUUUUCAAAAACCUAAGGGACGGGUAGGGUUGAUGAAUUCCUAAAUAACAACUCUGAAAUAAAAUAAAUUAUCCUAAAAUUCAAAAACAGAAUAUUUAAAUAAAGAUGAAAGCUUGGGUUGCCUCCCAAGAAGCGCUUCUUUAUAGUCACUAGUUUGACUCAACCAAGGUGUCUACGGUGGAUCUUCGGGUGGAGCAUCUUUCUUGUUUCUGAAUUUUACCCUCGGCUUUGCAUUCUCCUUCAUCGUAGCAUGGCCAAUAAAAUUAGGCGGUUUGAACCUCGAUGUAGCCUUCAAAACCUCUUUUGGUUUGACAAUGUUUGGAGGUUUCAAAAGCCUAGCCACAUAGUCUUCUUUUUUGUCAGGUGGAUCAACUUCUUGGGUGAAUAUGACAUCCACUACUUCUUCGGCUCCUGAGUAUUUGCCAUCAGUAGAUGCAUCCCUUACUAAGUAAUUGAGAGCCAUAUAUUGUUCUAAAGGGUCAUAGAACACUUCCUUUUUUCUCUAUAACCUAAAACUGCUUCAGCCGAUUGGGCCAUAUUGCAAAUGUUGACUUUUUCUUGAGGCUUUUCUACUUGAUGGAUGUUGAAAGUCACAUGCUCUUCAUUAAACCGCAGUGUCAAUUUUCCUUCCUGGACAUCAAUUAAUGCUCUUCCAGUAGCUAGGAAAGGUCGACCAAGAAUCAACGAUAUUUUCUCGUUCUCGUCCAUGUCCAACACCACAAAGUCCACAUGAAGGAUGAACUUAUCGACCUUCACCAAUACAUCUUCAAUCAUGCAUUUGGGAUAUGUGAUCGAUCUGUCCGCCAGUUGCAAAGUGAGGGUUGUGGGCUUCACUUCUGCAAGACCCAGCUUUUUGAACACUGAUAGGGGCAUCAGGUUUAUACUAGCUCCAAGGUCGCACAGUGCCCUAUCAAAUGUGAUACCACCAAUAUUGCACGGGAUGUUAAAGCUGCCUGAAUCUUUCAAUUUGUGAGGAAGCUUCUGAAGUAUGUCACUACACCCCUCUGUUAGCUUAAUUGUCUCGAACUCCUCCAGCUUCUUCUUAUUUGACAUCACUUCCUUCAAGAAUUUGGCGUAGUUAGGCAUUUGGGCCAAAGCUUCUGCAAAGGGAAUGUUGAUGUGGAUUUUCUUGAAGACUUCUAGGAAUUUUGCAAAUUGGUCAUCAAAUUUCUUCUUCAUGAACCUCUGUGGGAAUGGUAGUGGGGGCUUCAAGAUUGGUGGGUUGUCCGGAAAUGAGAGCGAGUAAGGCUUAUAGAUCUUUGUACCCUCUGCCUCAGUUUUCUGCCUUUCACUCUGCCUUUCCUCCGUAACUAUGACAUCCGACGUAGGCACCACAAUUUUCUUAGGUUUGCUUUCUUCAACCAUUUUACCACUCCUUAGGAUGAUCGCAUUGCAGUGUUCCCGUGGGUUAACCUCAGUGUCAAUGGGAAAUUUUCCUUUUUGCUGAGACUUCAUUGAGGUAGCCAAUUGGCCAAUUUGGACUUCCAGAUUCUUCAUUGUGGCUCCCAUGUUGGACACAUGUGUUUCAAUAUUAUCCCACCGUAAUUCAUUUUUGUUGAAGCGUGAUCUUGUCUCAGAAAUGAACGUCCCAAGGAUGUCUUCCAAGGGUGGUUUCCCAUCAGAAUUUUGAGUGUUGAAUUCGGGUGGAGGUUGAAGUGUGUUUCUAUUGUUGCCAUAUGACAAGUUCUUGUGAUUCCUCAGCCCUGGAUGGUAGUGAUUAGCUUGGUAGCUUCCUCUUUGAUUGUAGUUUCUACUGUCGACAUAUUGGGCCUGCUCGUUUGUGACCUCUGUCUCUUGGUUUGAAGAAGAAGCACUCAUGAUUGAAUCUACCUUCUGUUGAUUUCCUUGAGUGGUAAGCGUGACUAUCUGAUUUGUGAGUGAUGCAACCUGAGCUGCUAGUGCGGUGAUGGGAUCCACUUCAUGAAAUCCUGCUACUUUCUUUACACCCGAUCUCUCACUUGGCCAUUGGUAACUGUUAGUGGCUAUGUCAUCCAAUAAAGCAUAUGCAGCCUCUGCUGUUUUAGCCAUUAAAAUGCCUCCCGCAGCUGCAUCUACCAUAGUCCUUGUCUGCCCAUUUAGCCCAUUAUAAAAUAUCUCAAUUUGCAUCCAUUUCUGGAACCCAUGUUGAGGACAUCUCCUAAGCAAAUCUUUAAAUCUUUCCCAGGCUUCAUAGAAUGGCUCGAAGUCGAGUUGUUUGAAUUGGCUAAUUUCACUGUGAAGUUGAGUUGAUUUAGAAGGUGGAAAGUACUUGGUGAGGAAUUUCUGAGCCAAAUCAUCCCAAGUUGUAAUUGAGCCAUACGGUAGUGAUUGGAACCAAGCCUUUGCUUUAUCCCUUAAAGAGAACGAGAAUAGGCGGAGUCUAAUUGCAUCUUCAGUAACCCCAUUCAUCUUCACCGUGUCACAAAUUUCCAAAAAGGAUCCAAGAUGAGCAUUUUGGUCUUCUACUGCAGCACCCCCAAAAUGAUUUUGUUGUACCAUGUGUAUCAACCCUGGCUUCAAUUCGAAAUUGUUUGCAGCAAUUGCUGGGUGUGCGAUGCCGGAAUAGUUGUCAUUGACAACCGGCCUUAUGUAGUCCCGAAUAGCCCUUUGUUGGUUAUCCUCAUUGGCUGCUCUAACAUCCUGUUCUGCCAUUGCUUCCCGUUCGUUUCUUUGUAUACCUCUGAGAAUGCGAAAUGUGCGUUCUGGUUCAGGAUCAACAGGUAGUAGAUCUAGAUUUCUCGCCCUUCGCAUAAACAGUUGAAAAUAAUCAAAAGGAAACUUUUAAAGAUAGACACAAAAGAAGUAAAAUAAAAAUAACGGUAAAAAUAAAAUCUAGAGUAAAAUGAACACCGAUCGGUAAUAAUAUCAACUGAAUUCAAAUGAAUCAAUCCCCAGCAACGGCGUCAAAAACUUGCCACGCGUUUUAUAUAACGUGAUUUUAUACCUCAAGCGCACGGUGUCAAGUUUUGUAGUAAAUUAAAGAAUUGAAAAGUGUCGAACCCACAGGGAUUGAUAUUCGACUUCCACUGAGUACUAUAAUUGUGUCCGCGUUUACUUUAUCUAGACAAUCGAGUGUUAAAUUAAUGUUUGAAUACUAAACUAACGUCAAUGAAUUAAAUAGUGCAAUAAAAGUGAGGCAAUUUCUAAAGACUAAAUCAAAUUUACGUAAUGUCUAGGGAAUGAUUUCACCGUAUUCUCGACAUAAUUCUCAAUCCCUAUAGAUAUUUCCAUCAACUAUUUCCCAAAUUCAUAGGCAAGAAUCCUAAAUUAAUUCUAUUUUUCCCUCUCGAGCGUCAAAUAGAACCUAUCUCUAUAUUUUAACCCAAAUAUCUCUAUUCCGAAUUAAAUAUAUAAAGAUUAUCACGCACUUGGUUCUUGUUUUACCCUCAAAGAUUCGUACUUUCUCUUGAAACCUACAAACCUAGGUUGAGCGUCAAAUUUAGAACAUCAAUUCAUUCAAUUGGUGAUCAGGCAACUGAGAGCAUUAAGCAAGAACAAUACAAAUCAAUUCUGGAAAAUUAAAUGGAAAUACUAUAAAGAAAUUGAAUCAUGUCUCAAAUAGGUUACAUCAAACCCUAGAUUUAACAACUUAGUUCAUGAUUGAGAAGAAGAACAUGAUAAAAUACGAAUUAAAUUGCAUGAAGAAGAGAAAGAUAAGAAAAAACUCAGGUUAUUGCUCUAUUUCUCAAUCUUGUGGCUUGAUUUCUCAGUUUCUCCCUUCUUUUUCUCCAAAAUCAGGUCGAUCUUCUCUCAAUUGGUGCCUCUCUUUUUCUUGCCUCUUCAGCCUUCUAACCCCCUUCUUUUGUUCUUCAGCUGGGUAUUUAUAUUUUCUAAGGGUUCUCCAGGGUUAGGGUAUGAUUUUUGGGCCGAAAAGAUACUUAAAAAUUCGGGUUUUAACGUUUUGGGAACAGGCGCCAUGGCGCCCAGGUUUGGCGCCGUGGUGCCCAAGUCUCUGCUUGCCUUUUCUUCAUUGGGCGCCAUGGCGCCCAGGUUUCUACUGGAAUUGCCUCUCUUUGGGGCGCCAUGACGCCAAUGCCACUGCUUUGCUUCUCUUCUCUUUGUUUUUCCAAGACUAUUUUCCACUCUAAUCUUAUUCAAUACUUGCUUAUUCAUGCUCCAUUUCAUUGAUCAUCAUUUUUGCUCAUCACCGGUUCCCAAUAGUGGUAUUUUCUCGAGAGUUGUCCAAACUGGAAAACAACACUAACACACACAUCAAAACGUUUAAAAAUGCUCAAGAACACAUCAAAAAACUUGAUUUAGAAGCUUUAGUUUAAUGAGUGAAUUACACUCAUCAAAAUCACAGGAAAAGGAAGAUAGCGAGCUCACAAAAAUUAAGAGAGGCGUUGUCGAGCUUCAAUUCGAUUUCUCCAGAACGGUUGAAAUAACACUAUGGUAGAGUAACAGAUUUGGAUAAAACUUAGAUCAAUUUGAUUAAGUUGGCUUUAAACUGAAAAUUAGAAAUGGGAAAAUCAUAUUUUUGGGUUUAAGCUAAAUUAGCUAGUUAGCAAAUUUGUUUAGAAAAAAUAAAAUAGUUUUGUUUAUCAAUUUAAAUUAAUUUAAAAAAUUAGAGAGAUUCAAUUCUUAUUCGGUUCUUGAUCUAGAACCGAAAAUUGAACUAAACCCGUCGAUUUUCGAUUCAAAUACCCGUUCGGAUAUUUAACUUAAGAAGAACCACUCAGUUCGAUUUCGGUUCUGGAGUUUUGUCCAGCCCUAACAAAUAUGAUCCUUGAAGAUAUGCAGAUCUGAAAAUCUUGCAAGGAAUAAGUAUAUUGUGAAAUAAUCUUUCCAGAAAUAACCUAAUGAUUAACAGGCCUUAUGAUUCCUUUUUCCUUGUUCCCAGAAUUGACGGAGAAGAGUCGAUCCCUUUUUCAGCAAUCUAAGGUUAAAUUUGCCGCUAUAUAUGAUUUAUAAACAAUUGACACACGUAUUGUGUUUGAUAUGAAGCUACAUAUUUAUAUAGGAAACAAAAGAGAGCUUCAAUAAUUCGUCAAAAUUUAAACCAUAACUUCAUUGAGGGGAUUAUUAUUCCUUAAUUUACAAGGCCUUUUCUCUUGAUAAACAUGUAAAUGCCACAUACCCAGAAUUAACCAUUUCCUAAAUAAUGUACUACCCCAUAAAUAAAUCGUCUUGAAGAUAAAUAUCCAAUGAAAUUGUUAUAAGAAAAUUGUUAUAAAUUAAGUUAUAAGAAAUUUUUAAAAUCAAAAAAUUGAUCCCCUUUGACUAUACAAGAAUAUGUAGAGUUGAACCAUGUCUAGAAGCACGGGAGAACGUAUAUUAUUACCAAUAUUUGAUAAUUUAAUUUAAGCGCUCAAUUAGAAUUUAUUAUAUAUUCUAAAUUUAUGUAUGACCUAAUAUACUCCAUCUAACGUGGCAUUGAUGUGAAAGUAGAUUAAAUUGAAAGAACUAAUGAUUUUAGCAAAGUAAAUCGAUAUCAAAUAUUUUCAGACUACUAUAAUUAAGAGAAUAUUUGGUGGGGAUUAAAAUUAGAUUUUUUUAAUAGAUUGUAAUAAAAAAAUUUGAAAUGUGGUUGAAAAGUUGUGAGAACCAUGAAAGAUGUAAUUAAUAUUGAUUGUUUGACUUUAACUUAAAUUAAAAUCAAAUUUUAAUAAACAUGUCCGACUACUAUAGAUAAACAUCUCCAACAAGUAGUUAGACAAAAACUUGAGAGGGCCCAAAUGUCAAGCUAGCACAAAAGUUAUUACAUUGUCAUGCAUGAAUAUUCUUUUAGCGUAAAAUUUCUACCUGUCAAGCUUGUCUAAGUAUUAUUAAAUAAAUAAAAUUUAAAUAUCGCGUAUCACAUUGUCCAUAAAGUACAUUAUUAAGGCAAAAGAAAAUGCUGCAAGUACCUAAGGACAUCAUCUACCCAAACACUCUCCAAGUCACUACACUCGACACCCCCACACUCAUUUUCUCCACCACCACUUUACCACUACUUAACCUCAAGCCUAACCUCAAGUCCACCACCUAUCCACCAGCGUCGUUGAUCAAGAAACACCCCAACAACGACAGUUCCUUCAAAAACCAACUUCAACCCCAAAACAAAGUUUCCCUUCCCUCUACAAUCCAUCGUAGCGAACACACUCUCAAAACCCUUCAUAAACACAUUCCAGGUCAUUCUCAAACUAUCCAAUGUCUCGAACACCACCGAAUUAUCACUCUUGACAUCAAUAUCAAACCAGAAAAUGCCAUUCUUGUCGACCUCAAGUUCGCCAAGGGCUUUAUAAGUAUAACAAUGCACAAGUGCAUGUUUUUAGCAUCAAUAGCAAAGAAUAUAUGUCGUAAAGAAAUAUGGGGCUGUUGAAAAUUGAAAUGUGGUACUCGGACAACAUUCACAAGCGUAUGAGAUUGUUGAUAAGUAAUAGAUUUAGUGAGUUAAAAGUAUCAUUCCACGAGGAAUAAUUGUAAUUAUAGUUUACUAGUUAUAGUCAAAUUCGAUUUAAUGUAACACAAAAGCGAUUUGUUUUUAUUAUUACUAUAAUUUAAACUAUGAAAGCAAUAAAAGAUUGAUUUUUAUCCAAAGAUGAGAUGAAUUUAUUGGAUUUCAGAAUUCACCUAUCAAUGUCUAAUUCCAAUUCUCUACUUACAUAAGUAGUUUGAUUAAUGUGUUUAUGACAAUCAAUAAUCCGUUAGUAUCUAAUUUUCUUUUUCAAGAUAUAUUAAAUCUAUAUUUAACACAAUUCGAUCAUAUUCCUAGUUCGAAUUUAUAUACAAAGCAUGCCUUCAAUUACAAGAUUAUCUCACACAAUUGCACAUGCCAUAAAUAUUAUUCUUAAUAUCUUCAAUCGAUGCUUAGACGCUGAAGAUGAUUGACAUUGAGAAAUGUCUCAAUUGAGUUCAAUUAUAAACCAUGAACUAAGUAGUUACUUAGUUCUGCAAUUUUUGUCAGAGAAAGCUAUUCAUAACUAAUUAUGAAUUUAACGUGAAUAAGCUCGAAUGCAAAAUUAUUGAGUUGCUUAACAUGCUUAGAACUGUCAUGCCCAAUAACAAAGUUAGAAGUGGGCAAACCAUUGAUUCCUCUAAGGGUAUUUAGAGGAAGUCUAAAGGGACUUUGGGAAAGUACCUAAUAUGGUGAAGACAGUCUAAGUGAAGGACAAUACAAAAUCUAAUGACCCUUGUUUUCAUUAUAGAAUAAAAGGUUAUUGGAAGGAAUAUUGCGUGGCUUACGUCUACUUCACUAGUUUUUUAGGUAUUUGAUACCAGAUUUAAAUCUCAUAUUUAUACAAAUAUGGAGAAACUAAAAAGAAGUAGACCACUGCGAAAGAGAGAAGUUGACAUACACGUUGGAGAUGAGCAAAGGUUCCUGCAUUCCCUAUAUGAAUAUACUUCUUGUCAUUGCCUUUUGGUUUAGUAUUGGAAUUAAAGAAACGUCGUUUUAUACUAACCAUAGCUGGAACAUUAAAAUAAAUUUCAUGUUCCGACAUGAACUAUUUUAAUGUUAAGGACAAUAGUUGUUCUUGUUUAUCAUGAUAAAGAUCCUAAUGGCUAUAGUAAGUUACAAAACGACGUUUGUAUUCUUUAAUACUAAGGAUUCUAAAAUGAGUAUAGAAAUUAAAAGGUAUAAAUGCGAUAAUCUAAUUGUUACCAAAACCUGGCAUGACAGACUUUGUCAUUUAGAUGAAACGUAAUUCCAAAGUUACAUAAAGAUGUAUACUUGGGAUUAAUUGAUUUUGACAAGUACAAAUUAAGUAUGUCUGGCACAAUGAUCAAAUUUUCUUUUACUUGAAAAGAAGAAAGGUCAGCAUAAUUACUGGUCUAAUGCAUAGUGAUGCAUAUGGACUCGUGUCAAUUAAUGUCAGGUAAUGUUUAUCUUAUUUCAUCAAUGAUCAUGUAUACUUGAUGAAAACUCAAACAUGAAACUCUUGAAAAGUUCAAGGGAUUCAAACUAGAAGUAGAGAAACAAAUAGGUAAAGAUACCCUCACAUUAAGAUUCAAUCAAUUGAGAUUAUCUUAAAGAUAAAAUCUAGAUUAUCUAAGAGAGAAUGAGAUUCUCGUGCAGUGGACUCCUUCAUAUAUACUGCAGCAAGCUGGUGUAUCUAAAAGGAGGAAUCGUUAAUUAUUACAUAUAAUGCGAUUCAUAACAAGCCAUGCAAAUCUCCCAAAAUUGUUUUGGAGUCAUGCAUUGAUUGCAGUGUGCAACACACUAAAUCAUGUCCCAUCUAAAUUGGUUAACAAACUCCAUACGAGUUAUGGAAAAGCAAUAGUCCCAAUUUAUCUUAUAUGAAAGCUUGGAGCCAUAAUGUUUCUUUGAAUCACCUUGAAUCAUAAAAGUUUGACACUAAAUCUGAUAAAUACGUAUUUGUGGGAAUAUUCAAAGGAGACAUUUGAAUAUAAAUUCUAUUAUCAUGAAGAAAGUCUUCGUCUCACAACAUAUCAUCUUCUUAGAGAAAGUGUUUACUCUAAGGGAGGACAGUGGGAGCAAAAUAGAACUUAAAAGAGUUUAAGAGUCCACAGAUAUAAUUAACCAAUUAGAUAAAUUCGAGUUUGAUCCCAUAUCUGAUAUGGGACAUACUUUGGAUCAGGAAGUAAAGACUCCUGAGGACAUGACAACUCUAUGUGAAUCUAGUAGGAUCAUUCUACCUUCAAGAAGGUGCAAAUCCAUCAUCAUUAAUCAGGUAUUAGUGAUCCAGGAUAAAGAACUUGCUAGUUGCAACAAAAUAAAGUCAAGUGUUGACUUAAAAGAGAUAGCAAGAGGCCAUGAUACUCAAGAUGAACUCGGCGUAUGUGAACAAGGUUUGGACCUUAGUCGAGCCUCCUGAUUGAAUAAAACCCAUAAGGUUUUGUAAAUAGUUUACAAGGGAAGGGUCGAUGUGGAUAUGAAUAUCCAUAUAUACAAAGCAAGGCUAGAAGCAAAGGUUAAGUGUUGACCUUGGUGAAACUUUUCUCUUGUGGCAUUACUGAAGUCCAUUCGGGUUUUAUUUGCAACAGUUGCAUAUCAUAACUAAAGGUUAAGAUAAGUCUCUAUGGAGCUGAAAUCUUCGAUUUGAUGGAAAAAGUCAAAGUGUUUGAUUUUAUCAAAUUUGAAGACAAAUUGUGUAUUUACAAGAAGAUAGUGGGAGCAUUGUCGUAUUCCUAAUAUUAUAGAAAACGACAUCCCUAUGUUUCAAUCGUUGAAAAAAUGGUUGUUAAAGAAUUUAUUCUUGAACAAUAUGCGAGAAGCAACUUGAUCUAUAGAGAUAGAUCUAGAAGGUUGCUUAACUCGUCCCAAUCCAUAUAAAAUAUUGAGAGGAUUUCAUAUGGAGAAAUUUGUUUACUCUUAAGCGGUAUGUUGAAAAGGUUCCAAACGUGAAGCAACCGUUAAUUCAAUAGUAGAAACCUAAUACAUGGUUACUUCAGAAGUAGCAAAGAGUUGCAAUAUGGAUCAUGAUGUUCAAAAUGAACUUGGAGUAGUUCCUGAUAUUGUUGAUCACAUACCAUUGUAUUGUGAUAACAAUAUAGCCAUUGUGAAAGCAAAGGAACUAAGGUCUCAUCAAUGAUCCAAACAUGUAUUAAGGCGGUAUAAUCUCAUCAGAGAGAUAAUACAUAGAAAUGACGUAAAGAGAAGAACAAAUUCCCGCAUUUAACAAUAUUGCAGAUCCACUGAUAAAGAGUUGUCGUAGCAUAAACAUGAUCGUCAUAUAGACUUAUGAUAUUGGAUACAUAAGCGAUUGGAUCUAGUGCAAGUGUAAGUUUGUAAGUAUUAUACCCUAGGUCCAAUCAACUUUGGACAUAAAUACUUUUGAUAUAUAAUUAAUGUAAUUUAAUGGCAGAUCUAUUAUUUAAUUAAUAGACAAUUAAAUAAAUAAUAGAGUUCGUAGAUUCAAAUUUUCGUAAUUUGUUAAUCACAAGGAGUUGUGAUUGUGAGAUAUAAAUUACAUUUGAUUGAAUCUUAAAUCGCCCGUGGUCAUAAGUGAUAACGAGAUACGGAUAGACCAUCACGUGUGGCAUUUCUUACUUGUGAAGUAAGUAGCUGAUCUCACAAGUUAAAGUGUGGUGACACUUAAAUGACACGUGGAUGUUUUGAUAUAGAACAAAACAUUGGAAACCCGCCGAGAGAUUCCACAUGGAUAACUAUUUGAGUGUCAGUGGUUAAUCUCUAACGAUCGGUAGUGGAAUUGGUCCUUAGACUUGAGGUCGUCAUGGCACCUUAUAUGAGGACAGUCAUACUUUGACGGUGUUGGAUGUUGCUCUGCAAAGGGCCGCUAAUACGACAUCGUUCGGGUACAUCAAGAAUUGUAUGAAGGUUAUGAUUGACCAAUAAAGGAUUCAUCACCCUUAGAUAGUAGAAGAUUAUGAUCAACGUUUCAUUCAAUUAAGUCGAUAACGAAAUCCUUGGCCAAGGUGUACUCAUAAGUCAAAAAGGAGUUUUCAACUUAUAUUAACUUAAUAGUGGAGUGAAAGAUAUGAUCGAAAUUCGGGAUUGACAUAAUUCCAUAUCUCGUAAUUGAUCGGAUCAUAUUGACGAAGGGAUUAUAGUUUCACGGUAAACGAAUGAAUUUGAUUUUGUCAUACCACGUGACAUUUUCCAUCACAUGUAUUGCCCUGACACAUUGCUAGAUGUCAAUCAGGGACGGCGAGUGUGAAUUGACGAUAAAUUAAAAGAGUGCUUUAAUUUAUCAAUUUUGAUUAGAUCAAAAUAAUAUUUCACGUCGUUAGGUAUCGUGGUCGGGAACCUAAUGGGUCGCACACAAAAGAGAAUUGGAAGAUUGCAAAUUGCCAAUUGAUUAAUUUAACAAUCGUUGGAUAAAUUAAUUAAUUGGAUUUGUUAUUUAUAUUCUCGAAUUAAUUAAUUGGAUUAAUUAAUUCAUGGACUGGAUUUAAUUAAAUGGAUUAAUUAAAAAUUGGACCUAGGGCAUAAUACUUACAGAAUUUAUAUUUUAAAAUUGUUAAUUAGUCUGUUUUGUUUCCAUGAGCUAUUCUUAUGUUCCGUAAUGAAAUUGGUAGAAUACGAAAUGCACAUUCAUUUUUUUCCCCUGUUACUUUGAGGAGAGGAAAUCGGUUCUAGGAUUGUUGUGUCCAUUUAGGUGCUUGGCAUUCUAUCUUGUAAUCUUGCUUUGUCCACAUAAGUUAUAAAUGCUAACCAUCUGUAUUUAACUGGCUUGGGGUGAAUACAUCACUGCCACAUAGACCCCUAUCAUUUUUGCUUGAUCUACAUAACUACUGAGACUUUUGACCCUUAUUGAAUCUUUCUAUCAGUUAUGUUUUACAUUGCUACCUGUCCAACACUUGGAAGGGAUUAGCGAAGUUGGAAAAGUUUAUAACUCUUGGGACAAAAUAAGGGCCGGUGAUUAGGCGAUGACUUUAAAAUUUUGUUCAAUAGAUUAAUAGACUUCAUGCAUUUCACCCGAUAUUUGAUGACGUCAAGUUGAACAUCUCAGCAUUUUCUUGACCCUUGCUUUUCCCUUAAUCGUGGUUCUGCUAGUGCUGUGUAAGCAUAAUUUAUUGCUGUUCAUCAUUUGUUGCAGAUGGGCAAUGCAUUGCAACUGUUUCACAGGAUCGUACAAUCAAGCUUUGGUCAAGCAAAGACGACGAGAAAGAGAAGACAAUGGAUAUUGAUUAACAAGACUGCCGCUUGAUUGAGGAAGGCUACAAGGUGAUUGAGCUGCUUUCUUUUUAAUAAGCAAGCAACGUUUUGGAUUAGUUUUGAAGAAUUCCAAAACAUUGAAGGCUCUAGAUUGAAAUUUUAAAGCAAUAUUGCUUUCGUUCCUAGCCAGCUUCGACUUGACUGAGCAUUAUUUCGCUUUGCAUAACAGAUGUAUUGUUCAAUACAUUUAUAAAUAGACUAAACAUAUAAUUUAACAUUAAAACUACUUGUUCAAUUGUCGCAUUAUAUAUUGUGCCUAUUUUCAGGUCGUCCUAGUACUUUUUCUAAAAGCUCGAAUUGCAAUAAAUUAAAACUUCUAGGUUGAUGUGAGAAUUCGUACUAGAUCCCGCUCAAUCUUUUGGUUUUAAGAAUACUAAUUUCGAGUAUAAACAAGAGGGGAAAUUAAACAACUUUCUAAAAUCAAUCCAAAGAACAUAAAGUUCAUAUACAACAGGCCUACAUACUGUGCAAGAAAGAUUCACCAAAUUCUCUAUUAAAACACGAAAAUAACUUGCUCUCAAAAUCGGCCCUUGAAGGUGCUCAUUAGUCUACCAUUUUUGGAACACAAGACCAUAUAAACCAAAACAGAUUGUCAUAAAUUAGCUUCAGAAUCCAGCUUUUACGCUUUGGAUAUGAAAUUAGUCGUCUGGUCACUCCUGAGCCUAAAGCUUGAGAAUGAGGCCAAUUGGACUCUGAUCGCUUCCACUAACAUCAGGGAGAAUAUAUGAGUCGUGAACCAUGUCUGAUAUCGAUUCGGAGACAAGGAAAUAGUCAAGCCGCCACCCUGGUUCAAAACAAAAGACAAGUAAAGAGCAAACAGAAAAUUUAAAAAGGGAGUAUCAGAGCAGCAGUACUUGGAAAAAGAAUGCUGAGUGUGUUUGGUAAGCUUAAAAAAUUUAAAGUUACUCUUUAAUUUACUUUUUCUAUCCGAUUACUUAAUUAUAUCUUACGUCAUUUUCGCAAUAACUAACUUAUUUCUAACUUUAACCAAUAAAAUAGAUUGUUUAUUUCAAAAAUUAAUGCUUCGCAUGAAAUGCAGCGAUUCCAGAUGAGCCCAAGAGAAUAGUUCUGUUCUUUUCGAAAUUUGUCUCAUGGAAACAGAAGAGUAGUUACCAUUAGUAAUCAAACUAGUAGCUUUUAAGCUGACACACAAAAAAUAUAAAUUUUUCUUUGACCUGCAAGUCUAAAAUUUCAAGAGGAAAAUCAUGACCAUGCUGUGGUGAUGAUAGUAAUUUCUAAGUCCUCCAGAUCCUUUCGUUAUAUGAGAUUAGCAAAACCUAGCCAUUCAGCUCAUAAAAGUAGCCGUUAUUUGUUUAAAUCAGUAUAUGACAAAAUCUUAUCUUUUUUCGUUUUUCGAGGGUGGGGGAAAAGUCUGGAGAGUAACUCUUAA